UUACUCACUAUUCAUGCCCAUCUAUGAUUUCAUCUAUGGCACAACGGACACGUCUACUGAUACCCUCUAUGAAGAUUCGCUCAAGAGACCCGAGGAAGCCCCUGAUGUGGUGCAUCUAACUCAUCUCACCACACCAGAUUCCAUCUAUCAUUCACGGCUAGGACUUGCCUACUUGGCUUCCAACCCUCAGAAAUCGAAAUGGUAUCUCUCGUUAAUGUGGCCGGUGACACUGUGGACCAUGAUGUUAACUUGGAUUUAUGGACGCGCUUUUGUCGUUGAGAGGAAUCGCUUUCACAAACUCAGAUUACAGACGUGGACAAUACCAAAAUACAAUAUUCAAGUAAAUAAGAAGGAUGUAACCCUGUCAUUGAUUAAUCAAGUGCGUUCAGUUUAAUUUGGUCGCAUUAAUUUUCGUAUCUACUCUUUGGCAGUACAACUUGCCGUGGCACAGAGCAUCCAUAAACACCUUGAUUGAAGAAGCUAUACUAGACGCUGAGGAAAAAGGUGUUAAAGUGUUGAGUCUCGGCCUCUUAAAUCAGGCAAGUACUUCACGGUUACAAUACAAUGCAUUCUAGGCAACCUAUAUUGUGUUUUCAUCAUGUUCAAAAAUAAAUCUUGCAGGGAGAGGAGCUUAAUAGGUAUGGCGAGCUUUAUGUGCAAAGGUAUCCGAGCCUCAAAACGAAGGUGGUGGAUGGAAGCAGUCUAGCCGUUGCUGCUGUGCUGAAUAGCAUCCCUAAAGGAACAACACAGGUGCUUCAUAGAGGCAAUCUCUCAAAGGUUGCGUACGCUGUUGUUUUAAAUCUCUGUCGGAGGGGAAUACAGGUAUUGUUGAUGUUGUCUCCUAGGCCAGUAGGCACACGUUGUCGCUUCAAUUUAACUGUAAUUCAUUUAAAUUGAUUGUAUAGGCAGGCAAUUAUUUAAUUCAUUUAAUCUGUGGUCAUGUUUUAAUUUCUAAUUCUUUUGUUUUUUCAGGUGGCUGUUCCAUACGAGGAUGAUUACAAGAGGCUUAAAAAAUCCUUCGGCGUCACAUCUGAUCAGAAUAAUCUGAUUCUUUCAAAGAAUUAUUCAAUAAAGGUAUACCAUACCUAUGAUUUCUUUUGCUUCCAAGGAAUUAGAAAUCAGUUUUUUGUCAAAAAAAUUACAACUUGAACUUAAUAUAUAAUAAAACUUUGGGCAGACGUGGUUAGUUGGGGAUGGAUUAAAAGGAGAAGACCAAAAGAAGCAACAGAAAGAACAUUAUUCAUUCCCUUCUCGCAAUUUCCCCCGAAGAAAUUGCGCAGUGACUGCUUCUAUCACAGCACACCAGCAAUGGCAGCCCCUGCAUCUCUCGAAAAUGUGGACUCUUGUGAGGUAAUUAAUUAGUCAAAUAUUGCUCAGCUUUAAAGUACUAUUUGCAAUAUUUUUUUUAAUUUUAUUUCAGUAAAGAUAAUUAAUUUGAAUGAUGACAGAAUUGGUUGCCAAGGAGAGUGAUGAGUGCAUGGCGUGUGGCUGGAAUAGUGCAUGCCAUAGAAGGAUGGAAUGAGCAUGAAUGCGGUUACACCAUGUCUGACAUUGACAAGGUUUGGCAAGCAAGCAUCCAACAUGGUUUCAAACCUCUGGUCAUCGCGACUCCAUCAAAAUUCUAAUGGAUAUUUAGCUGCAUUUUGUUGCUAGCCAUGCCCUAAUUAUACAUGCUUGAAAGGAUUGAUAUAUUAUGUAUCACCUCCAUGAUAUUGCGCAGCUAUAUUUAUGUUAUCCACUACUAUAUAUUCAUAUUAUCUGUACCCCAUCAAUGUAUUAUGCUAUUUUACUAUUCAAUUGACAAAUAAUAAGAAAUCGAUGUUAUAUUUUCUUUUAUGCCUUCUCUACUAUAAUUAUAAAUCAAAAUAUUGUCAAUACAACUAGUUAGUUAGUCAUAACACGUGGAAAUCUCUUCGCCUAUAUUAUCAAACCUAACUUGUUUUAGUGAGUCAAUAUAGUUGUUACGAGAUGGCAUGCCCGCGCGCUGCUGCGAAUUUAUAAAACAAAUGUAUUUGAUAAUAUUAUAAUUGUGAACCAACGCUGGAUAAAUAAUAAAAACUAAGAAUAUGAUGGAGCUAAUAUUUCAUGACUGAAAACAAAAAGUUCUGUUGGUGAUAAAAAACCUAAAGACUGAACAAAAUAAUUUGUAGCAAUUCAUAGUGUUUUGUAAGGAAAGAUACAAUGUUUUCACCACAUGAUUUAUCUUUUCUAUUAAUAAAAAGAAAAAAAAAUUACAAAACUAAAUUCUCUACCAACUUAAUAUUUUUUUAAAAAAAACAACAAAGAUAAUUUUGGAAGGAAAAAAACCCAUGAGGAAAACAUUGUAGCAAUUGACAAUGUUUUGUGUGGGAAACUAAGUGGUUUCUCCAAUAAAAUCGACAAAGAUAAUUUUUAAAAAAAAAGCCAUUUAGACAAAUACUGUAGCAAUUCACAGUGUUUUAUGAGAAAAACUACAACACUUUACCCAUAUGAUUUAACUUUAUUGUAAUUAUAAUUCUUAACCAACUCAAUAUUAAAAAAACAAUCGACAAAGAUAAUUAUGAAAAAAAUCAUAUGGAAAAACACUGCAACAAUUCACAAUGUUUUAUAGAAAACUUUUUUACAAAGCUCAAUAUUAAAAAAAUAAAAUCGAUAUAGAGGCAAUUUUAGAAGAAAAAAAAUAACAAAAACAAAUUAAAAAACAGGAAAAAAAAAUCAUGUUGGAAACACUAUAGCAAUUCAUAGUGUUUUGUGAUGAAAGCUAUAGUGAUUCCCUAGAUGAUUUAGCCUUAUUUGUAAUGACUUGUAAUUGUAAUUCUCGACCAGUUUAAUAUUAAAAAAAUAAAAUUGACAAAGAUAAUUUUAAAAAAAUCAUAAGAAAAAAAAACCAUGUUGAGAGACACUCUAAAAAUCCACAGUGUUUUGUGAGGAAAUCUACAAUAUUGUCCCCCACAUUAUUAAGCUUUAUUACAAAGUUAAAUUCUAACCAACUUAAUAUUAAAAAAAUAAAAUUGACAAAGAUAAUUUUGAAAAAAAAUAUUAUAAAAAAAGAAAAUACAAAAGAAACUGGAAAACAAUCAUGUGGGAAAAAAAUACCAUGGCAAUUCACUGUAAUUUACGAGGAAAGUUAUAGUGUUUUUCUCACAUAUUAUAACUGUAAUUUUUUAACCAGCUCAAUAUUAAAAAAUAAAAUUGAAAAAGAUAAUUUCAGAGAAAAACAUCAAAAAACUAAAACAAAAAAACCAUGCGGAGAAACACUGUAGCAAUCAACAAUUUUUUAAAAAACAAAUUACAAAACUAAAUUCUCAAUUAGCUCAAUAUUUUUAAAAAAAUCAACAAAAAUAAUUUUGAAAAAUAAAAAAACUAAAAUAGAAAAACCAUGUGGAAAAACACCGUAGUAAUUCACAGUAUUUUAUAAGAAAAAAAAUUACAAAGUGAAAUUUUUAUCCAGCUCGAUAUUAAAAAAGUAAAAUCAACAAAGAUAAUUUAAAAAAAAAACAAAAAAAGAGGAAAAGUUGGGGAAAAAAUGAAAAAGUAAAAAAAGAAAAAGAAAAAAGGAAUGCAUUGUGGAUUAUUGUUAUGAUUCACAAUUCAUUGGGUGUGGGUGAACAAUGAAUCAUCCACGGAAAAAAAAUUACAAAGUGAAAUUUUUAACUAGCUUAAUAUUAAAAAAGUAAAAUCGACAAAGAUAAUUUUUAAAAAAAAUAAACAAAAAAAGGAAUUAAAAAAAAAGAGGAAUGUAUUUGUUUUAGUGAGUCAAUAUAGUUGUUACGAGAUGGCAUGCAUGUGCGCUUCUGUGAAUUUAUAAAACAAAUGUAUUUGAUAGUGUUAUAAUUUGUGAACCAGCGCUAAAUAAGUAAUAAAAACUAAGGAUAUGAUGGAGUUAAUAUUUCAUGAUUGAAAAAAAAAAAAGUUUUGUUGGUGAUAAAAAACUUAGAAACUGAACAAAAUGAUUUGUAGCAAUCCAUAGUGUUUUGUGAGGAAAGAUACAGUGUUUUCACCACAUGAUUUAUCUUUUCUAUUAAUAAAAAGCAAAAAAAAAUUACAAAACUAAAUUCUCUACCAACUUAAUAUUUAAAAAAAAAACCAACAAAGAUAAUUUUGGAAGGAAAAAAAAAUCCAUGAGGAAAAACAUUGUAGCAAUUGACAAUGUUUUGUGUGGAAAACUAAGUGUUUUCUCCAAUAAAAUUGACAAAGACAUUUUUAGAAAAAACAAAUCAUAAAAAAAAGCCAUUUAGACAAAUACUAUAGCAAUUCAUAGUGUUUUGUGAAAAAAACUACAACACUUUUCCCAUAUGAUUUAGCUUUAUUGUAAUUAUAAUUCUUAAUUACCUCAAUAUUCAAAAAACAAUCGACAAAGAUAAUUUUGAAAAAAAAUCAUAUGGAAAAACACUGCAACAAUUCACAUUGUUUUAUAGAAAAACAAUUUACAAAGUUAAAUUCUCAAUAAGCUCAAUAUUAAAAAAAAAUCAAUAAAGAUAAUUUUAGAAAAAAAUAACAUAAACAAAUAAAAAAACAGGAAAAAAAACUAUUGUGUUUUGUGAUGAAAGCUAUUGUGCUUCCCCAGAUGAUUUAUCCUUAUUUGUAAUGACUUGUAAUUGUAAUUCUCGACCAGCUCAAUAUUAAAAUAAAAUAAAAUUGACAAAGAUAAUUUUGAAAAAAAUCUUAAGAAAAAAAAAACCAUGUUGAGAGACACUCUAACAAUCUACAAUGUUUUGUGAGGAAAUCUACAAUACUGUCCCCAUAUUAUUAAGCUUUAUUACGAAGUUAAAUUCUAACCAACUUAAUAUUAAAAAAAUAAAAUUGACAAAGAUAAUUUUGGAAAAAAAUAUUACAAAAAAAUAAAACACAAAAGAAACUGGAAAAAAACCAUGUGGGAAAAAAAAUACUAUGGCAAUUCACAGUAAUUUACAAGGAAAGUUAUAGUGUUUUUCUUACAUAUUGUAAAUGUAAUUUUUUAACUAGCUCAAUAUUAAAAAAUAAAAUCGAAAAAGAUAAUUUCAGAGGAAAUCAUCAAAAAACUCAAACAAAAAAACCAUGUAUAGAAACACUGUAGUAAGCAACAAUGUUUUUUUAAAACAAAUUACAAAACUAAAUUCUCAAUCAAUUCAAUAUUUUAAAAAAAAUCAACAAAAAUAAUUUUGAAAAAUAAUAAAAAAUAAAAUAGAAAAAUCAUGUGGGAAAACACCGUAGUAAUUCACAGUAUUUUAAAAGAAAAAAUUACAAAGUGAAAUUUUUAACCAGCUCAAUAUUAAAAAAGUAAAAUCGACAAAGAUAAUUUUAAAAAAAAAAAAAAAGAGGAAAAGUUGGGGAAAAAAAAAAGGAAAGUAAUUUUGGAAAAAAAUAAACAAAAAAAAGGAGGGAAAGUUGGGGGAAAAAAAGAAAAAAUGAAAAAGUAAAAAGAAAAAGAAAAAAAAAAAGAAUGCACAGUGGAUUACUGUUGUAAUCUACAGUUCAUUGGGUGUGGGUGAACAGUAAAUCAUCCACGAAAAAAAAUUACAAAGCGAAAUUUUUAACUAGCUUAAUAUUAAAAAAUUAAAAUCGACAAAGAUAAUUUUGUAAAAAAAAAAGAAAAAAAAAGGAAUGCAAUGUGGAUUACUGUUGUAAUCCAUAAUGUAUUAGGUGUGGGUAAAUAGUGAAUCACCCACACCCUUUAGCUUAUUAUUUAAUAUCAUGACAAAUACAAAAUAUAAUUAUAAAAAACUAAAAAUUUUAAAAUUGACACUAGUCUAGAAUUUAGGUACUAGAUUAAUUUUGUCUAAGGAAAGUGUGUUUUCUCCUAAAUUUGUUCUACGUAUACUAUUAAUUGCAUGAAUAUAUUUCUAAACUUAUCUUUAAUUUAUUUUAAAAACAAUAAUUUAGUCUUUAAGAAUAAAAGACUUGUUUUUUCAAGAGCAACUUUACACUCAACAUUUCAUAUCCAACCUUGUUCAGAUAAAGAAGAGAAACUUUACAUAACAUAUUUUCUCACAGAUCAAAACAACAACAUUUCAGGCUUAGAUUGGGUCUACUUCCACCAUUUAAAACCAUAAGUUGCUUUCAAAAGAAUUACUUGGUUUAGUAUGAACCCUAAUGCACCUCAUUUAUUCAUUUUUACAGAAAUAAAAAAAAUGAAAUAUCUUUAUUAUUAACUCAUGAUGAUCAAGCUUGGUUCAAACCAAACAACAAAACUUAAAACAUAUAUUUUUUUUAUAUGGUUUUCAUAACAAGAUUGACUAAGGAUCUUUCAUGUUUCAUGAUUGAAAAUCCCCAACCUUGAAAAUCUAUAUUUCAUGCACCCAUAUCAAUAUAAAACAUGUAAUAAAAAUAGCAAACCCAUAUCCAUGCAUAAUACUUCAAACAAGGUUCACUUUGGAAGGUUUUUGUCCUAUUUAAUCUCAUGGUUCAUACUCUAUUUAUUCAAAAUCUAUUAUCUUAAAUUACAAUGACAUGCAACCACUAGAAAAUGAGGAUUAGAUUAAAGGACAUUUAAUACUAAGAAAAGUGUUUGAAACUCACCCGAUCUUAUUAUGGUUGUUGCUGCUAAUGUUCCACUAGUAUUCUAAAAGAAAAAAAAGAAGAACAAAUUGUUGCAACUAUUUUAAAAUGUUGUUGAAGCCUUUUAGAGUCACUACUGCUUUCUAAAAAUGUUAUCACCAUCCCAAAACUCCUCCAACUACAUGAGUAUGCUACAAAAUCCUUAACCAAAGAAGUUUCCCACUACAACUUGGUUCUCCUGCAUUUAUCAAAACCAAAACUAAUUUUACCACCUAAAAGUGUUUUUGUGGUGUUUGAACUACUAUUGAAGCAUUCCAAAUAUGUCUACGAAGUCUAUGGUUGUCUUAAGAUGGUUAGAAAGGGAUGUUAUAUCUAAGCAACCAUUGUAGUAGAAGAUGAAAGUCCCACAUUUAUCUUUAUACAAGAAUUCUUUCUUCUAUCUUCUUUUAUGUUAUGUCUUCACUCUUUUCUCUCUUUCUCUUUCUCUUUCUUUUUUGCUUAAUCUUUCUCUUUUUGUCUUUCUUGUUUUGUUCUUCCCCUACUCUCUUUUCUUCCUUUUUAUUUUUUCCUCUCGCUUUUGAUUUAUGAGGGAUAUUUAUAGGCCAAGAAGGGGGGAUUUGGGGUCUUAAUCUGGUAAGAUCAAAACCCUUUAUAUCUGAAAAGCUUUCACCACUAUUAGUUAGAGCUCAUACUCGUCCUUGUUUGAGCUACAAGCUGGCCAAAUAAGAUACCUAAUUCUCUUCAUGUUUUGGAGGUUUUUGCCAUAGUUUUGGAAAAAGCUUUUGUGAAAACCCAACUAAAUCUUUUUCAAAAAGAAAUAAAUGAAAUUUAUUUUUAGCUAGGAAAUAAAUUCGAUCAAGUUAGAUGGAAUAAAAUUGGAUAAAUGAAGGGGCAAAAUUGGAUAAAACAAAAGGUUAUAAAGCAUAAAGUAAUUAGAGUUAAAUGAGGGAGAACAAAAUAUAAUUAAAUACAAAUGGGGGGCAAUGUGUAAUUGAUGGAAAAUUGGGGUAUAAAUACCCAUUUCUUCUCCACCUAGUUGAAGAUUUACAUGAGAAAGGGGGGAGAAAUUGUGAUUUGUCUUCCAAAUUCUUGCAAAAUUCAACAAAAAAAAAAGAAGAAAGAGAGACUAGGGUGUUUAAAGCAUAGCUAAGGAAUUAAAAAAAAAAACAAAUAAAGGAGAUUAAGGGUUUUGGGUGAGCUUUGUAGAGUAUAUUAAGGUUUGGAGUUUUGAAAAAAAAAAAGAGGGAAAAAAAGGAAUUGAAGGGGCUUGAUUUCCUAAGCUUCCAACAAUUGAGAAUCAUCCAUUUAAGAUUAGAAAUGCCUUCAAAUAGAUUAAUUGCAUUGAAUUUGAGUUUUUGUUAAUGAAUUGUGAAUGUUAUGCUUUUGUGAGAAUGAAAUUGUAUUGAUUAUGUAAUGAAUGAAUGUUAUUGAGAUUGGUUAAUGACUAUUAAUAAGAACUAAGAAUGGGUAAUGGUUUAAUGUCAAAAAAAAAAAAUUGAAAGGAUAAAUGCCCCUUUUAUUGGCUUAGUUUAGGCAAAGGAGAAAAAAAUUUGGGUGAUUGGAAAUUUUAAUGCAAUUAAUUAAGAUUGGUGGAGAUUUUGGGUUAGGUGAAUAUUGAUAAAUAGGAAAAGAGAGGAAAAAAAAAUUAGGUCAUUAUAAUUGAUAUAAGUUCAAGAAAAAUGAGGUUAUUACGGGUGGUAUCAGAGCCCUAGUCUGAGUUCAAGAAUUGAAAAAGAAAUCUAAUGAAUUAUUGAGUUGUAACUAAAUGGUUUGCACGAGGAAAUGUGUGAUGACAAAUCCCUCGUCCGCAGGGGGAUCUUGAGGAAAGGCAAGGAGAGAACCCCCUGGAGGAUACUACCUCUCAUAUGCCACUAAUAGCACCUUAGUUGGAGUUAAGGGAGUGAUUAGACCUCGAGAGGAUGCUAAAUCGAGGUAGGCAAGAGUGUCACAUCCUGGAGAAUUCAGUUAACAGAGACAAAGUAUUGUACCCUCCAGCUACAGAGGCAGUACCUUUAGUAGCCCCUACCCUACAUGUUGAUCGAACAUUUAUAGCUUAAAUUGUAAGGGCGGUGAUUAAAGCAAUGCCUAGUACAUUGACCCUGACAACCCUAAUGACUCCAAUAGUGUAAACAACACCAGUGGUGAUAGAACUAAUAGAUAAUAUAAUCAUAUUGGUGCACAUUGUAAAGAGUAUAAGGGAGUUGGGAUAUGAAUCAUUUUUCGGGAAAACCAUAUGCAAAAAUAAUAGAUAGGUGGCUUUGCAUAGUUGAAGACAUAUUGGAUCAGAUACAAAAGGCGGACGGUUUAAAAGUAAAUUGUGCUACCCAUCUCUUUUUUGACAGAGCAUGGUCUUGAUGGGAUACUAUAAGAUCAAGGAGAACAAUAGAGUCAUAGUCAUUAAUCGAUUUCAGGGUCUAGUUUGAACAUCAAUUUUAUUCAUCGUACCAUAGUAAGGUGAAGAAUUAGGAAUUUCUGGCUUUAGUGUAGGGAGACAUGUUAGUGUUGGAUUAUGAGAGGAGAUUAUAUAACCUCUCCCUGUUUGCCUCCCAUUAUGUUCCCAGUGAGUAGCACAUAAUAAAAAUGCUACGAGAUGUUGUGACAAGAAUUAAAGCAAGGUCUAAUAGCUUUUAAGUUUGCAACAAGCAAAGAGCUCAUUGAGGUAGCUGAGGCCCUAGAGGCAUGUACGAAAGAGGGCUAACAAGGUUCAGUCUGGUUUUGGGAAAAUGGAGGGAUAUUGAUUAUUCUGCAGGUAGACCACCUCUCCUAAAAAGAAAUAAAAUGUACUUCAACCAAUUUAAAAGUGGAGGAACAAUAACAAGAUUUACUAAGAGUAUUGAGGAGGGGUUAACUAGAAGGUAGUCAAAUUUAAAAAGUAGUUUUACUAGACAAGCUUCAGAGCAAACGUUGAUCACUUAUCCUCAGUGUACUCAGUGUUUGUGAAGAAAAAAGAUGGAACUCUUAGACUUCAUAUAGAUUAACGAUAGUUGAAUAAAGUGAUGCUAAAAAAUAAAUAUUUGUUACCCUAAAUAGGUUAUUUGUUCGAUCAACUUAAAGGAGAAAUGGUGUUUCAAAGAUAGACCCAAGAACGAGAUAUGGACAUUACGAGUUUCUAGUAGUUGUUUGGGUUAACGAAUGCCUCGGUGGUGUUUAUGGACUUAAUGAAUAAGAUCUUUUGCAUGUAUUUAUAUAAGUUUCAGAGCAUGAGCAACACCUGAGACAAGUGUUAUAAACAUUAAGAAAUCAUCAGUUUUAUGCCAAAUUGAAUAAAUGUGAGUUUUGGCUAAAGAAGGUGGUUUUCCUAGGACAUGUCAUAUUGACUGAAGGAAUAUUGAUGGAUCCUAAUAAGCUUGAAGUAGUGUUGAAAUGGAAAAUAUUUACUAAUGUAACUAAAAUUUGUAGUUUUUUUGGAUUGGCUGUAUAUUACAGAAGAUUGAUUGAAAGAUUUUCUAUAAUAGUUAUUCCAAUGACCCGACUGACUUAAUAAGAGAUGAAGUAGGAAUAGACCAAAAUAUGUGAACAAAGCUUUCAAGAGUUGAAGAGGAGGCUUACAUCUGCACCAUUGUUAACACUUCCUUCGAGAAUUGAAGGGUUGGUGGUUUAUAGUGAUGCAACAUGGCAGGGUGAUAUCUUAUGCCUCGAGAUAAUUGAAAACUCAUGAAAUUAAUUAUCUCAUACAUGAUAUAGAGGUAGAUACAAUAGUAUUUGCUCUAAAGCUAUGGAGGCAUUACUUAUAUGGGUCUCGAGUGCAUAUUUUCAUGGAUCAUAAGAGCUUAUGGUAUUUGAUGACACAAAAGAAAUUGAACAUGCAGAAAAUAUGCUGAGUGGAAUUGAUCAAGGAUUAUGAUUCUGUGAUAGAGUAUCAUCCAGGAGGUAAAUGUUGUUGUCGACGCUUCGUAAGAACAUGGCAAGUGGUACUUCUUUGGACUUAAUUUAAAAAUUGAUUUAUUAAAAAUCUAAUUAUAUCAUUGGAUUUAAUUUUUAUACAGAUUUGUCUAAUAAUGAUUUAAUUUGACAUUGAAUCUGUAAUAUCUUUCUAAUUUUAGGUUAAAUAAGGUACAAUUAGGCUCUUAAUUCUAUCUAAAAUUGCAGUUUGAUGCUAGUAUUCUAGGUUUUAUUAUUUUAUUUAUUUUAUUUUAUUUUGGAAAGAAAUAAAAAAGUAAAUAUGAGGAAUAACUCAAAAAUGAGUUAUGGCACAUAGCAGGCUAAUACAUAAUUAUCUAUAAAACAAUCAAUAAUAUCAUCACAUAAAAGCUUCUUUAAAAUGAUGACAUAAAUUCUUAUUAGUAGCAUAUUUUAUAAAUAAAAGGCAACAACAAUUAAAAUAAGUAGAAAGAAUUUUUAAUCAUUUGCAAUAAGUAGAAAAAAUGUAUCUCUUAAAAAUAAACUUAGUUUUCUUAUUAAUUCAUCUCUUUUUUAAUUUUAACAAAACAUGUUUUUUAAUCAUAACUCUUGUUUUUAUAUAUAUAAAAAAACCAUCAUGAUUUUAAAAUUGAGUUUUACUAAAAAAGAAAUCUCAAUAUUUUGUUUGUGGUUGAAGACAAAAAAAAAGAAAAUUUAAUAUGAUAAAAUUUUGUCAAAGAUCUAUAUAUAUAAAAAAAAAUAUAAAUUUCAAUUUCAUUGACUAUCCAUGAGCAUUUUGUUUUCCUGCAUAUCAGGUAUAUAAUAAUUGAAAAUAAAUUAUUAACAUUUUCAUUAAAAAAAAAACUAUGUCAACAUUGACUGAAAAUUUAAAUACAUGCAUUGAAAGGGAUUUUACCAGGUGAACAAAAUAUAGGAUAAUAAAAUUAAAAAAAUAAAAUAAAUAAAAGAAUUGAAAAAUUACCAAAAAACCAAAAAUAAAAAGACUAAAUCAAUUGCAAUGGAGUAAUGAACAGUGCAACAAGGUCUGCACCAGUAGUGAGAAAAAUAGUUGAAAGAUAUCUGGUUUUAGUUUAAAGACUAAAAAUUUGUGCUAGUUUUAGUUUUAUUUGGAGAAGCUAUUUAAAAAUAUAUUUAUCUUAAAAUUAAAUUAAUACAUAUUUUAGUAUUUUUUAUUAAUUUUAAUAUACUAAUAUAAAAAAUAUUUUUAUUAACAUGCCCUUUAAUUGUUUUCAUGCAUGUUUGGUAUUAUAAUAAUAGUUUUUUUUUUAAUUUUUUGUAUUUGAAAAUAUCUUAAAAUAAUAAUUUUUUUAUUUUUAAUUUAAGUUUAUUAAAAGAUAUAAAUAUAUAUAUAAAAAUUUAAUUUUUUUAAAUAUCUUAAAACCGCUUUUAUAUUGAACAAAUAAAUUAUGCUUUUAACCGCACAGUACACAACGCACAGUACAACAGUAAAAGAAAGAAAAAGUUGAAAGCAGUCUUAUUUUAAUGUUUUACCAAUGUUUUGGAUAAAUUUUUAGAAAAAUAUAAAAAAUAAUGAAAACCUAAAAAUAUAUAUAUUUUUAAUAUAUUUAUAUCAUUUUUAACAUUUUCAAUAAUAUCUCAAAAGAAUUUAAAUUUUGCAUCUUUCACUUUCAAUCAAGCAAACAAAAAAAAUAUCACUAUUAACACCGCGCGGGUACAUGGGACAUAAGUGAUGGACUUGUGUCAAGUUGGCGUUUAGGUGACGUAAUGUUCUUUCGUAGACUACGCGAAGAGUAGGACACAACUGUUGUGGAAAAAAAGGUGACCCUACUGCUAGUCUGCAACCACGUGGAGGGAACAGAUGAACGUGUGGGGCUAGUGGCCGUCGAGCCAGUUAUUGUGAAUUAAUAAGCCGGCAACCGCAGUCGACGAGUAAUUAUUUCUAGAUUUGAUGGCCUGCAUCUACUGAAAUUGAUCACCCUUCAACAUCUAUUCACUGGCUGCAUCGAUAGCUGCUUGUGCAUGAAACAAGAAUCCAUUUUCUGUACGUUAUCUUUAUUUAUUAGAGCUUGUCGGUCCAAAAGUGACUGCAACCUAUUUAUGAUAUUCUGAUAUUUGUUAAUUAACUAUCUUUUAUAAUAUUUUUAAAUUUAUAAGAAGUCAAAUUAACUAACAAUUAAUUGACUUUUUUGUUCCUAUUAAGAUUGAAUAUUUUCUUAGCUAUUAGUAAAUUUUAGUUAACUGAUGCACCGACUUCCCUAUACAAAGUUUAGUAGAUUUUCGCAACUGCAUUAUUUUGUUAAUAUCUAUGUAUAUUGAGCAGAUUUAUAAUGUUUAUUAAUACUUAUAUGAAUAUAUUUGAUAAUAAAACUAAAAACAUCACAUGAAAUAUUUUGGAAGGAAUUAUUCUUAAAAAUCUUUGUAGAUUAUUCAUAGUGUGUUUUGCGUAUCGGUCUCUUCCUUAAUAAAUAUAUUUAGGUGUUGUGGGACCCUCCAAAAAUCAAGUUGGUACAAGAUAUUUUGUAUGAUAAAAGGUGUAAUGACCUAGCUUUUUAAAAGCCAGAAUCAACAGAAUUUUUCUUUUUUUAGUAGUUAGGUUCUGGAUAUUUUUUUUUCACCAUAUCAAUUUGCAGAUUUAUGAUUAUAUUUCAUUCAUUAACAAGGCACAAUCUACUUACGAUAAUGUAAAUCAACAUUCUUAUAAAACAAAUACUCAAUACACAUGCCCAUAAUAUUAUAUUUUCAUACUCAUAGGUUUACAUUACAUCACAUUGACAUGCUCAUAAAUUCACAUUCCUGUUCUAGUCUCGUUAUCACCACGAGUUUAUACAAGAGUGUCGAACAACAAGUUACACAACUAGUACUUUCAUUUAUCCUAUCUUCUUGUGAUUUCACAACAUAACAUCUUUAUAUGAAGAAUACCACAUACGUAUUUUUAUACACAUCAUAUCUACAUGUUCAUACAUGUACAUCCGUGUUCCAUUUCAAAGUCUUUACAAAAUGGGUCGAACAACAAAUUAAGCGAUUAACAUGUCAGUUCAUACAUAAUUCAUAUCACCUAUAACAUACAAAUAUAUAGUUCUUUUCAAAAAGUGUGAGCCGCGAAACGGAUUUCCUUACGCAUUAUGUUGGGAUGAUGUCCAUGUUACAACACAAGAUAAUUGCAAGCAUUAUAAGCAAUUUAAAACAUAAUAAAGUAAUAUUAACAUUACAUUUCAUUCAUGGACCAAAAAAGCAUAAUUAUUUCAUUUCUCUGUACUUAUAUAAAUACCACCCCUAAUAAUUCGUCUACUAUUACAAUACUCAAACCGACCAUCCAUCUCAAAUACCAUUAACCAAACUAACCCUCCAAUUCAAACCAGUCAUCACUCUAGGAUGUCUUUAGUUGAAGUUAGUCGGCAAACACAUCUCAAUCAUCCUUCUGUGAUGUCAUUAGCCAAAGCUAUUCAUCAAUCACAACCCGACCAUCCAUCUCGGAUGCCAUUAGCCAAAGCAAAUCAUAAGACGCAAACCGAUCAUUCUUCUAGGAUGCCAUUAGUCGGAGCUAAUCAUCAAUCACAACUAGGCCUCCAUCUCAGAUGCCAUUAGCUGAAGCUAAUCAUAAAAUGCAACCCGAUCAUCCUUCUAGGAUGCUAAUAGCUAAAGCUAAUCAUCAAUCAUAACUUGGCCAUACAUCUUAGAUGCCAUUAGCUAAAACUAAUCAUAAGAUGCAACUCGGUCAUCCUUCUAGGAUACCAUUAGCCGAAGCUAAUCAUCAAUCACAACCCGACCAUCUAUGUUAGAUGUUAUUAGUCGAAUCUAAUCAUAAGAGGUAACCUGGUAAUCCUUCUAUGAUUCCAUUAGCUAAAGCUAGUCAUCAAUCACAACCCGGACAUCCAUCUUGGAUGCCAUUAGCCGAAGCUAAUCAUAAAACACUACCUGGGCAUCCUUCUAGGAUGUCAUUAACCAAAGCUAUUCAUCAAUCACAACCCGACCAUUCAUCUCGGAUGUUAUUAUCUGAAGCUAAUCAUAAACACAAACACAUGUUUCAUAGACGACUUAUAAAAUCACUAUAAUAUAUUAAUAUGUCCUUUGUAAUGCUUAUUCAAACGAUUCAUAAUAAUUUGACAUUCACUAUAACAUAAUAGUAGAUCCUUUAUAAUACUUGUUGUAACCCAUUUCUGGGUCCCCACAUAAAAAAUAAUAAAAUAAAAAAAAAUUCAAAAAAAUAUAUUAUCAAAAAAUAUAACAGUGAAAAAAUGCCAAAGCGCCCUAAAAAUGCUCAAAAAUAGAUUGAGGAUGUUCAAAAAUCAAAAAUUAAUUUUUGACAGUAUAUCAUUGACUGAUGAGAGCCCCGAUGAUAAAGAAAAUUCAAUUUGAGGAAGAAAAAUGCAAAAUUAGAAGUUUAUGGACUCAAUUAAAUUUUAUUGAAGGUUUACUUGCAUUUAUAAAGAUUUUAAUUGCAAGAAAAAUUGAUUUUGGAGUUAAUUUGGGCUUUAAUUAGGAGAAAUUAAUUUUCUGGGGUCAAAUUAUAAUUUUUGGAAGUUCAUUUGGUCAAAUCAGGGGCUUAAUUGCAUAAAUAUUGAAGUUUAAUGGCCAAUUAGGGACUUAAUUGAACAAAUCCGAGACCAAGGACUAACAUGCAAAACACGCGCAAAUUGAGGGACUUCUUUGAAUCUGACGUGUUUUGGUGCCUUUUCCUUUUAAAUGAAACGGCGCCGUUUCAGUCACUGUUGCAAAAAAAAAAAAAAAAAAAAACAGAAGCCCAAAACGGUGCCGUUUUGUCGGCACUGUAGCUCUUCUUCUUCCCCUGGACGCGCGAGGCAGGGGAAGAAGAAGAUUUUUUCUUCCCCUUUUCGCCUAAUUUCUUUCCCGUUUUUCGCGCAAUAAGACGCCCGCAAUCACCCACUUGUCUCCUCCUUUUUAUCCUUCUGAGUUGAUAGUGGAGGGGCGGCCGACAGUGGCCGCCCCACCACGACACCGCCCCCCUGUUUUUGCCUAUAAAAACAGGGGAGGGGCACCGAGAAAGAAAAAAAAAAGAACAGAAGGGAGAGGGAGACGAACCGAGAUAGAAGAGAAGAGAAGAGAGAGGGCAGAGAAGAAGAAGAAGAAGAAGCAACAGGAAAAAAACGAAGAAAAACAGAAGAGAGAGAGAGAGAGAGAACCACCGCCGGCCUCCGCCACCGUGCCUACGCCGCCAGCAGCACCGCCACGACGUCACCACAGGUAAUCUCUCGCCGCCCUGUCGCCUUCUCUGUUUGUUGCCUCCCUCGUUUGCAUGCAGAACGUGAAUUAAUUCACGUUCUGCAGCUGAAGAGGGCUGGUUACUGUGCUUAGGCACAGUAACCAGCCCAUUUGGUAAUGGGCCGGGUUGGCCCAACCCAUUGAUAUGGGCCGGACACGGCCCAUUUUAAUUUUAAUUUUUUUUUAGAAGUUGUUUUUACAAAUUUUUGGCACAUUUUUUUAUUUAUCAAUUUUCCUUAAUAUCGGUCUGUAUUUUACAUAGUAAAAAUAUAAAUUCGGUAUUAAAAUACCCGGUUUUCGUCAUUUUGCACUAUUCAUACGGUACUGUUCACACAACAUAAAAAAUCAAAAAUAUUUGUUUCGGCAUUUUAUAAUUUUUCCGCGUCGUUUUUAUGUCAUUUUGAUUGAUAUCGGGCAGUAUUUUUACAUCGAAAAAAUAUUAAAUCCGGUAUUAAAACACUCGGUUUUCGGCAAAAACUUCCAAAAAUAAAAAACAAAAUUGAAAAAAGAUAAAAAAAUGUUUUUAUGCAUAUGGCCAAGUGUCUCAAAUCUAAAAAAUCAUAUCGUAUUUUUCAUAUGUCAAAAAAACAAUAUUUUAGCAUGCAUUUUGGCUUUAAUAACCAGUUUAUUAAAGUCAAGAGAACAUUGGCCAAAAUUUCAAAAACAACAAAAUAUUUUAUUUUGUUUGAUUUUAGUAUCAGGGAUUAUGAAUUUAUACGUAAAUCGUAUUCCUGAUAUUAAAAAAAAAAAAAAAAAUUUCUUUUGACGACUUCGAAUAGUUAGUUUUUUUUACCCGAUAAAGAUAAGGACCUCCUUACAGAGGAGGACUUUUCUUAAACCGUAAACGAACCAACAAUUCAAAAAAACCACAACACGAUUUUAGAUUUUAUCAGACAUUAAAACAAUGCAGCCUACCUUAGGUAGGGCGUAGUUGGGGUGCUAAUACCUUCCCUUUACGCAAGAAGUCUCCGUACCCGAUCUCUAAAGACCAGUUAAGGUUCCUAGUAACCAGAAUACUAGGUGGCGACUCCCAGUCCAUAUUUUCACUUGUAGAGACAAGAAUUCCUUGUCUCUCCACACAUUUGCCAGGAAUAAUUAUUCCGAUUUUUUCCUUGAGGGUGGACGAUCGCCGCGCCGCCGCACACGUGCGACAAUACUCAUACAAAUAUUUUGUAAUUGCUUAGCAUUCAAUAUAACACAACAAUAGAUCGUUUAAAAUAUUCAAACAAAGAUUCCAUAAUAGUUUAGCAUUUAGUUUAACGCAAAAAUAGAUCUUUCAUGACACUCAUACAACAUUUGUAACAAUUUAGCAUUUUGUAUAACAUAACAAUAGACUCUUCGUAAUACUCAUACAAACAUUCGUAACAAUUUAACAUGUUGUAUAUCACAACAAUAGAUUCUUUGUAAUACUCAUACAAAUAGUAACAAUUUAACAUUCUGUAUACCACAAUAAUAGAUUCUUUGUCAUACUCAUAUAAACAUUCGUAACAAAUUAACAUUAUGUAUACCACAACAAUAGAUUCUUUGUAAUACUCAUACAAACAUCCAUGACGGUUUAACAUUCUGUAUAGCAUGAUAAUAGAUCCUUUGUAAUAAUUUCACUUCAGAACUAAUAUUAUGCUAGAAGGGGGUGGAAGUCACCUACAUGUUCCUCCCAUGGGGUGUCCUUAACCGAUUGAAGGUCCGAUCCUGGUGGCACCACCUAACACAACAAUGGUCAUAAAUUAGCACAUAUGCAUUCUAAAAUCACAUGACUCAUCAUCAUACAUAUUUCAAGAAUCCACAUGUUCACAUUCAAGUGUUCCACGUUUUACACAAUCCUAUAAUGAAUUCGUUACAGGCAUUUAAUUCAAUUAUGAUAUGGAAAUUUAUCAUUGGACAUCAACAUCAAAAACUGGUUCUCUAGUGACACAGAAUUCGACAUCGAAACUGAUUUGCUUGUGACACAAAAUUCUGUAGCGAAACUAGUUUGCUAAUGACACAGAAAUCGAUAGUGAAAACUAAUUCACUGGUGGCACAUAAUUUGGUAGCAAAAACUAAUUUGCUAGUGGCACAAAAUUCAGCAGCGAAACUAGUUCCUUGGUGACACAGAAAUCGGAAACAAAAACUGGUUUGCUGGUGACACAUAAAUCGACAACAAAAAUUGGUUUGCUAGUGGCACAAAAAUCGGCAGCAAACUUAGUUCGCUGGUGACACAGAAAUCAAAAAUGAAAAUUGGUUUGCUAGUGACAUAUAAAUUGACUGCAAAAAUUGGUAGCAAAACUAGUUCACUAGUAACAUAGAAAUCAACAGCGAAAACUGAUUCGUUGGUGAUAUAGAAAUCGGUAGCGUACCUAGUCUACUGCUUAUUCAAAAAUCAUUGAUGAAAACUGAAUUGCUGCUGACCCGGAAAUCAUCAACGCAACAUAUUUCUACGACUGAUGCUGGAAUUGUUAGCACACAUAACUUAUUGUUGUCUCAAGAAUCAUGGACGAAAAAUGAGUCGUUGCUGACCUAGAAAUCGUCAACACAACCCAUGUCUACGAGUGACGCUGAAAUCAUCAGUGCACACGUCCUACUGUCAACGCAUAAAUCAUUGAUGAAAACUAAGUUGUCGACUCGAAAAUCAUCAAUGCAAUUUUUUGGCUAAUAAUAUUCUGAUUUUGCCGACCUUUGGUUGUCAAUCUUGGUUCUUGAUUGAACUUUUAACUCUUUAAUUAAUUGAGCAAUCUUUGUUGUGAAUUUAUCCUCAUUUUGCUCGUCUCAAGGUGUAGGUGUUGUGAUUGGGUUGGUUUAUACUUUUGUUGUCUUGGAGCAGGUCUUUCAUUGUGAUAAGCUCAUCCUAUUUUAAGCAAACUUGGAUUAGAUAGAUCCUAGGUUCGUGAAUUCCAUUCAAUUCCGUUAGGGUUUACAUCAGUUGGCAUCAGAACAUAUCUAAUCACAGGUUAUAUCCUUCAAUUCAUGUCUUUUGUUUCUUGAUUUUUCUUGAUUAGUUUCGACCACAUAUACAAAAAUAAAUAAAUUAGGGUUCUUGCAUCCUCUUGAAUUGUUGAACACCAAAAUCAUAAGGUAGUGUUCUUGUUGAAUUCUUGAUCAUGCCAUAAUAUAUACAUAAAAUAAAAGUGUGUGUUCUUGAAUUUUUUUUUCUUGAUUACCAAAUUGGUAUACAAAAAAGAAAAAAAAGGGGUUUGAUCUUGAAAAUUUUGAUUGUUGCCGCAAAAAAGAAGAAGAAAAUCAACAUUUUGGAGUUUGGCCAAGAGCUAGGGAAAGAAAAUUGAUCAUUGAGAAUUUGGGUUACUCUUUAUCUUUUUAUUUUUCAAGUUCUAUCAUUGUUUGAUUUAAUUUUCAGUUUGGAUAGUAAAUUUCUUUAGUAUUAUUGCUUCCAUUUAGUUUUCAGUUCUAUCUUCGAAUUGUCAUAUUACUCACAUAAAUUUGCAUUGCUACUCGUGAAUUUUUCAUCGUAAUUUUGUGUUGUUAGUUUUGUAAAUUUCUUGCUUCUUGAGUCUAUAUCAAAUUUAUAAAUUCACUACGUAGUUGGUUGCUUUUAUGAAUUAUUGCUAAGUGAUUUCAAAAUCUAAAGAAAGGCAAUUUUAGUAGAAAAAGGCGCAGGGAGCAUAUUAGAGUGAAAAGCUUAUAAAUUUAUGUGAAACACAAGUGUGUGAAGUGUUAUUUUUAUUGCUAAUGAUUUUCGUGCAUGUUUUUUUUUUAAAAAAAUGUCUUCUAACCUUGUGUCAUAGAAAAAGGGUGAAAUACUAGAAGAUGGGCUUUCGAGAAUACAACAACAAAUGGAAUUUAUGUUUGGUGAGUUGAUGACUAGGAUUGAAAAAUUAGAGACUAGGUCUAAUAGGGGAUGUAGUAAAAAGGGUAAAGAAGCUACGAAGGAGGAAAGUGCUGCUGGAAACUCUGCAGAGGAAGCCGAGGAUGAUCUUAAUCGUGGUAGUGGAUUCUGUACACAUAGGGGAGAGAGCUAUGAGAAUCGGCCAAGAAAGGGACAUAUUCGGCCACAUAGGAAUUUUGAGUAUAGAGGGGAUUUUGAUGAUUUGGGUGAUGUAGACCGAAAUUUGGGUAGUAUGAAGUUAAAAAUCCCAUCCUUUAAGGGAAAAACUAAUCUGAAAGCUUAUUUAAUUGGGAAAAAAUGUGGAGAUGAUUUUUGACAUUUAUAGGUACUUUGAAGAAAAGAAGGUUAAGUUAGCUAUAGUGGACUUUACUGAUUAUGCCAUGGUUUGAUGGGAGAGAUUAAUGGUAGAAAGAAAAAGGAAUAGAGAAAGACCAGUUAGCACGUGGGAGGAGUUGAAGACAAUAGUGAAAAAGAGGUAUGUUCCUAAACACUAUUAUAGGGAGUUGUUUCAUUGUUUAUAAAUGAUUACACAUGGUAGUAAGAGUGUGGAGGAGUAUUAGAAAGAAUUAGUGGCUAUGAUUAGAGCUAAUGUUAAUGAAGAUGAGGAAGUUACUAUGUCUAGGGUUUUGAAUGGCUUGAAUAGAGACAUGGCUAAUGUUGUGGAGUUCCAAUUUAUGUUGAAUUGGAAGAGUUAGUGCAUUUGGCCAUUAAGGUUCAAAGAGAGUUGAAAAUGAAGGGCAGUACAAAAUCUGGAGCUUAUUCAGGGUCUUCUUUGGGUUGGAAUUUUAAUUAUAGGAGAGAGGGUAGUGUGCCAUCAAAGCCCUUGGUGACCUCUAAAGUUGCUGAACCUACCUUCAUGAAGAAGCAGGUUUUGACUAAUGAUAAAAAAACUUAAAGGAGAAGUCGACCAAAGCAUAAUCAUGAUAUAAAGUGUUUCAAGUGUUAGGGAUUGGGACACUAUGCAUCAGAGUGUGCAAAUCAUCGAGUUAUGAUUCUAAGGGAUGAUGGAGAGAUUGUGUUCACAAACCUAGUCAUCCAUCUCAAAUAUCAUUAAUUGAACUAACAUUAUUCUCUAUUUAAAGCAUAACAAUUGUAGUUCUUUCAUACAUUUGGUAUAUAGAAAACAUGAAUGCAUGAACACAUCAAUUCUUGAAACUAACAUCCCGAUCAUUUCCUUAGGAUGCCAUUAGUCGAAGCUGAUUAUUUAUUCAUCUCAAUCAUCCACUUUGGAUGCCAUUAGCCGAAACUAAUUGUAAACACUCGGAAAAAAAAUGAAAGUCUGAGUAACCCCAUCAUCGUUGCUGAUUUUUGGAUCAGUAACGACGCUAUUUUAGCUUCUAAUUUUUGCAUGGGCAGCAACGCAAUUUUAGUUGUUGAUUUCUGGAUUGGCAUCGAUGCAGUUUUCACUGCUGAUUUCUGAAUUAGUAGCGACACAGUUUUAUGGUUGAUUUUUGAAUCACCAACAGCACGGUUUUCGCUACCGAUUUCUGAAUCAGCAGCGACUCAGUCUAAUUGAAAGUUUAGGAAAACAAUCAAGCUUUCUUGAGUAGUUAAAAGGGAGGGAUAAAACCGGUUUUGGAGAGACCAAAACAAGGAUAAGACCACAUCUAUAUCGACCCCAAACACCUCACCUCAUUUAAUAGGCAGUAUAAAUAUAAGAAGGAGAGAGAAGGUGACCCUUCCUCUUCCCAAAGUUGCAUGUCUAGCUGCAUGUUGCUCUCCUCUUCCUCCUUCCCAAAAAAAAAAAAAAACUAAACCAAACUAGUAGAGAGUGCCUUAUGAACGUGUGAGGGAGAGUUGAGAUCUUGAAAGAAGACUGGACAGCUGCCUAGAGGGAGGGGAUAAGGGGCUAGAAAACAUGAGAGGAAGAAAAAGUAGGAGAACCUGCAGGAGAAGAGAAAGAAUACUGUCAAACCUUCUCCAAACUUACUUAGAUUCGAAAGGUAUGGGUCAUGAAACUCCCUUCCUCUUGUUCUUAAGACCCAGAACCAAAAAUAAAGAAGAGGACCAUAAGAAAAUUGACUUAAGACCUAAGCUAGUUGUGAAGGAAAUUGAAAUUAAUUUAGAGGACAAGGAAACAAAAACAAAAUGAGGCAAAUUUCCAAAACAUCUAACAAAGAAAAAUGAAUAAAAUGGAAAGAACAAAUCAUGGUAAAGGGUCAGCCUUAGUUAUGGGGUUGGAAAACAUGGAAGUGUGUGUUCUGCUGGAAUUUGAUGAAAGAUUUUGUGCUGGAAUUGAUUAUUGCAUGUGUGUAUUCUACAGGAAUUUAGUGAUAGUUUAAGUGAUGGGAUUGAUUAUUGCAUGUGUAUGUGUGUGUUCAUGUUGAAAUCAUGUGACCUUGCUAGAAUCUAAUGAUAAAUUAUGUGUUUUGCAGCGAAUUUAUGAUUCUCUGCCGAAUUAUGUGUUUUGCACCAAAUUUAUGAUUUGUUGUUGAAGUUGUAUUGUCUGCAGCGAAAUUGAGAUUCGUUGUCGAAAUUGAGUUGUGUGCAGCAAAUUAGCCUCGUUGCUGAAUUAUGUGUUCUAUAGCAUUGUGAUUCAUUGCCGAAGGUGUAUUGUCUACAGCAAAUUUGUGACUCGCUGCCGGAAUUGAGUUUCUAUAGCGAAGUAGCAUUCGCUGCCGAAAACGUGUUGGCUAUAGUGAAGUAGUAUUCGCUGCCAAAAUUAUAGCGCCAGCAAUGAAACUGUUUUUGUUGCCGAAUUGUGCAGCCCACAUCGAACCAGUUUUCGCUACUUAAUUGUCUGGCUUGUAGCGAGUCAGUCUUCGCUGUCAAUUUCUGCAAUAGGCCUACCGGACAGAAAUGACUCAAAUGCUUGUAACAAUUUCAUUGUAUGAUGGUGUAAAAUAUGAAACACUUGAAUGUGAACAUAUUGAACUCUUGAAAUAAGUAUGGUGACGAAUGUGAUUCAAAAAUACAAAUUUGGUUGAAUCAUGAUUUUAGCUCAUUUGGUUGGCAGAAUCAGUCAUAACGAAAGAGACUUCUGUCGAGUUCGAGCGGGGUCAUCGACCACAGGCCAUCAGGAUGAAAGGCAGUAUAGUUAGGAUAUAAUGCUCCUUGUCACCUAGAGCUGAGGGAUAGGAAUGUCGACCAUAGGAAUGGGAUCUGCAGAGAGAGAAAGGUAUAGGUUAGCUUUAGGGCCUAGGACGGCACCCCCGUAAUUGAUAAAGGAAGUGGAUCAACUUGCAACUUUGAAUGAGCCUCUAAGCCUGCCUUUGACAAGUAAGCCUUCUCCUCUAAGUCUACAAUAGGCCAUUGGAAACCAUUGGAAACCAUCCCCAAUUUCUACAAUAGGCCUACCGGACAUAAAUGACUCAAAUGCUUGUAACAAUUUCAUUGUAUGAUGGUGUAAAAUAUGGAAUACUUGAAUGUGAACAUAUGAACUCUUGAAAUAAGUAUGGUGAUGAAUGUGAUUCAAAGAUACAAAUGUACUGAUUUGUGACCAUUGAUGUCUUAGGUGGUGUGGUCGGGAUCGGACCAUCGUCAGGACAAGAACAACCCGCAAGUGGAGCAGGUAGGUGACUUUCACCUUCCCUUUUCAUAACAUUGAAUUAAGAAAUACUUUAUCAUGAAUGUUAUCGUAUUGUGUUAGUACAUAUAUUAGAUUGCCAAAUGCUUAAAUGUUGACAAAUAACUUAUUAGCUUAUACUAAUGGCAUCCGAACGGAUGAUUGAGAUAAACAAUUGAUUAGCUUCGACUAAUGGCAUCCGAAUGGAUGAGCGCAACAAACCAAUGAUUACUUUUGGCUAAUGGCAUCCGAAUGGAUGACCAGGAUAAAUGGUUGAUUAGUUUCGGCUAAUGACAUCUGAAUGGAUGAUCAUGAAAAACGAUUGAUUAGCUUUGGUUGUUGGCAUCCGAAGUGGAUGGCUAGGGUGAGUGAACGGUUAACCUCGGCAAAUGAUGCAUUAAGAGAUAGCCGGAUUUAAGAUUGUGGCUGAUUGCAAGAAUUGGUGCAUUUAUAUGUACUACAAGUCGUUCAUACCAAGUAUAUAAAGGAACUGUAAAUGUCAUGUUUCAAAUAUGGGAUAAUGUUAACGCUUCAUUAAACUGCCAGACUGCUUAUUAUCAUUACUAUUAUUAAGUAAUCGCUUUCUUAUAAAUGUUUUGUACUGCAACAGGGACGUCACACUAACGAGGUGCCUAGCAAACCCAAUACAUGGGAACCUACUUUUGCAAGGAAUCAUGUAGUUGCAUUCUAAAUCACGAUGUACCUUGUAUGAAUCAAUGUACUGAACGUAGAACUAUUAUUAGAUCCUUUUUGUUUAAAUUUGUGAUGACUAUUAGUAGGAUAUGAAUGCAAAUUCAUGUCUUUGUAUGUACAAUUUUAAUGUGAACUUCUAAUAAUGCAAACAUAAUAAUAUGUGUUUAUCAUCAUCAUUAUUAUUAAGUAGUAGGAUAGGAAUGCAAAUUCCUGUCUUUAUAUAUACAAUUUUAAUGUGAACUUCUGCAAACAUAAUAAUAUGUGUUUAUCAUCAUCAUCAUCAUUAUUAAGUAAUCACAUUCUUAUAAAUGUUAUGUACUGCAACAGAGACAUCACUCCAACGAGGUGCCUAGGAAACCCAAUACAUGGGAACCUACUUUUAUAAGGAAUCAUGUAGUUGCAUUCUAAAUCACGAUGUACUUUAUAUGAAUCAAUGUAUUAAACGUAUAACUAUUAUUAGAUCCUUUUUGUUUAAAUUUGUGAUGACUAUUAGUAGAAUAGGAAUGUAAAAUCAUGUCUAUGUAUGUAUAAUUUUAAUGUGAACUUCUAAUAAUGCAAACAUAAUAAUGUGUUUAUGUAAGAUUCACUUUUAAAUGAAAUAUUGAUUAUUGUUGGAAUAUGGAUUGUAUCUUGAUGAAGUGAGGGAACAAGUUCGCUGAUUAUUGACACGAUGUGUGUCAAGUACAUUAUUUUUUUUAAAAAAAUGUAUCGUUGUUUUGGGCUUGAAAAGCCGGGUUGCUACACUAAUCAUUUAUUCAUCCCAGUCAUCUACUUAGGAUGCCAACAACCAAAGUUAAUCAUUUAUCCAUCCUAGGAUGCCAUUAGCCGAAGCCAAUCAUUUAUAAUCCAGGUCAUCCAUUUAUGUUGCUAUUAGCUGAAGUUAAUCAUUUAUUCAUCCCGGUCAUCCACUUAGGAUGCCAUUAGUCGAAGCUAAUCAGUUAUCAUUCUCGGUCAUCCAUUUAUGUUGCCAUUAGCCGAUGUUAAUCAUUUGUUCAUCCCGGUCAUCUACUUAGGAUGUCAUUAGCCGAAGCUAAUCAUUUAUGAUUUCCGGUCAUCCACUUAGAAUGGCAUUAGCCGAAGCUAAUCAUUUGUCAAUCCUGUCCAUCCACUUAGGAUGCCAUUUAAUCAUUAACCAAUCAAACAUCCCAGAGGUGGUUUAUGAAAUCACUAUAACAUGAUAAUAUAUCCUUUAAAAUGCUCAUUCAAACAAUUCAUAACAAUUCAUUAUAACAUAAUAGUAAACCCUUCGUAAUACUCGUAUGGAUGUUCCGUAAUAGUUUAACGUUCAAUAAACAUGAUAAUAAUUCCUUUGUAAUACACAAAAAAACAUUCCAUAACAGUUUAGCAUUCAGUAUAAUAUAACAAUAGACUCUUCAUAUUACUCAUCCAACCAUUCAUAACAGUUAAUAUUCAAUGCGAUACAACAAUAGAUCCCUCAGAAUACUCAUACAAAAAUUCAUAACAAUUUAGCACUAUGUAUAACACAAUAAUAGAUCCUUCGUAAUACUCAUAUAAACAUUCGCAACAAAUAACCUUCAACAUAAUACAAUGAUAGAUCCUUCAUAAUACUCAUACAAUCAUUCGUAACAAUUAACAUUCAGUAUAAUACAACCAUUCAUGAUAGUUUAAAAUACCAUAUAGGAUAACAAUAUAAUCUUCAUAAUAAAUUCACUUCAAAAGCUAACGUUAUGCUAGAAGGGGGUAGGAAUCACCUACCUAUUCCUUCAGUGGGGUGUCCUUGCCCAGUCGAUGAUCCAAUCCUGGUCGUGCCACUUGCACAUCAAUGAUCACAAUCAACACAUUUGUAUUUGAUAAUUACAUAACUCAUCACCACACUUUUUCAAAAAAUACACAUGUUCACAUUCAAGUGUUCUACAUAUUACAUAGUCAUACAAUGAGAUCGUUAUAAGCACUUACAUCAUUUCUGACAUGGGAGUCUACCGUAUAAAAUCGGGAGCAAAACUACUUCAAUGGUGAUGCAAAAUUCGACAGCGAAACUGAUUCACUGGUGACAUACCAUUUGUCCGUGAAAAUUGAUGACAUGGACUUAUCAACAAAAAUGAUUUGUUGAAUCACAGACUCAUCAACGAACUAUUCUCUGCAACGCAAACUCAUCAGCAAAAUUGAUUUGCCAAAACGUAGUGAUUGAUACUUAAAAGUGCAUUUUUAUCAAGGUUUUAUAUCAUCAUUUUGCACUUGAAGUAUAAAUAACUCCUUAACGAAAGCAUGUUUUAUAAUAACAAGUCUGAUACUAUAAGAUACCUUUAAUUUAUGGUAAAUAUUCAUCAUAAAUGCAGGCCUGUCACAUAAAUCAAAGGAUUGAUUGAUGAGUUUAACUACUGAAAUUUAAAAGACAAAGAGAGGGUCAAACUUAGAAUAUAGAUGCUGGUUCAGUCCAAACUGGAACACUGUUUGGUCAUUAAAUCAUAUCUGGAGCUAUAGAUCUUGGAUUUAGGCCUUAUUUAUAUGGAUAUAGAUGCUGGUUCAAUCCAAACUGGAACAUUGUUCGGUCAUUAAAUAUAUCUGGAGCUAUAGAUCUUGGAUUUAGGCCUUAUUUAUAUGGAUGGAAAGCUAAGACAUAGGCCUAAAACUUUCAUGAUGAGUGUAAGAUUCAAAGAGACCGUUUUCAAGUUCAAAUUAUAGUUCAAAAAGGCCUAAAGUUUUGUAAUGCUUAAGUUUUGUUUUCAUUAAUAUCAUGUUUAUGCUUUUCAUUUCCUUUCCUUUACUUAGUUAACUUGUAUCUUAUUUAUAUUCUUAUCUUAUUUAUUUAUCUUUCUCUUCUUCAUUAUGUUUAGCUACGUUUAUUAUGUCAAGGUGAAAAGGUUACACUAAUGGUGUAAGAAUAAGUACAAUAGAAACUCAAUAUGGACUUCAAUGCUUAUAUCCUAAACAACUUACUAGUAACAUGUCUAAUCAUUUUUAUCUUAUUAAUUCUUAAUACCUUGCUUGUUAAAUGGUUAAUCUAGAUUUGUGUUGUAUAACACUUGGUACAACAAAUGCUUGACACUUUCAUAGCCCAAUCGUAUAGUAUAACCUAUAUUUGUCCUAUGAAAGGAACUGAUUUGUUGUUAAAUUAAGUUAACAUCAUGAAUUUCUGAAAAUAUUUAAAAGUUUGGUGUUACUUAAAUAAGAUAAUUAAUAUGAUCAUGUUAACAAUUUAUAAUAAGCUAUUAAUGACAAAUCAUCCGAUUGGAACCUCCUUUAUUUGUGGUUUCCAAUUGAGUAAUAAAAAGAGUUUAUACUAUACUUGUUUGAAAUACCAUUAGUGGAUCCUCUAACCUUGAUAUUUGUUUUUAUCAUUGUUUAAUCCUCACAUUAAUCUUACAUCUCAAAGUCCUCUUUAACUUAUUAUUAUUAUUAUUAUUAUUAUUAUUAUUAUUUAUAAUUUAUAUAGUUAACCUUACUAUGGUUCGACCCUGGUCUUGCCGGGUUAUUUAUUACUUCGACACUCCUACACUUGGGAGAAGACAUCAAUCUUUUGGUAGUGUAAAUUUUUUGGCAUUGUUGUCGGGAAGGUAAAUUUAUGUACAAAUUAUAAAUUUUGUUAUAUUUUUCUCUUUUCACUUUUCUUUUAUCUAACUUUUGUUUCUUGUGUUUUAUCUCUUUUUCCUUUUCUUUUCCUCCUUUGAUUCUCUUUCUACACGUGCAUGAGUGUUUGGUCACGUAUAUUAAGUGGUAGACUUUGUAGAGUAUCCUCAUCAUUUUCAGAAAAUAUGGCCGAAGAAAAUAACCAGUCGCUUCAUAAUAAGAAUAACCGAGUUAGAACACUUAGACACGACAUGAAUCCUACAAGAACAAGUGCACCGUCAUGUAUAGUUUUCCCUCUUGAUGCAUCUCACUUUAAUUUUAAGCCUGACAUUAUUCAACUUUUACUUCUUUUCAUGGCUUAGAUCUAGAAAAUCCAUACUUGCAUUUGAGAGAAUUUGAAGAAGUCUGUAACACCUAUAAUGACUUAAAUUGUAGCAUGAAUACCAUCAGAUAAAAGCUUUUUCCUUUUUCAUUAAAAGAUAAAGCUAAAACAUGACUACAAAAUAUUAGGUCAGAAUCCAUUCGUGCUUGGGAUGAAAUGCAACAACAAUUUUUAAAGAAGUUUUUUUCAUCUCACAUAACAAACUCUUUCAAAAGACAAAUCACCACUUUCACUCAAAAACCAGAAGAAACAUUUUACCAAUGCUGGGAUAGGUAUCGAGACUUGCUUAAUACUUGCCCUUAUCAUGGUUUUGAAACAUGGAGAUUGGUUUCAUAUUUUUAUGAAGGUUAACACCUAAAGAUAGGCAAAUGGUUGAAUUGAUGUGCAAUGGAACUUUUGAAGAUAAAGACCCUAAUGAAGCAAUGGAGUACCUAGACUUGCUAGCUGAAAAUGCUCAAAAUUGGGACACUACAGGCACUUAUGAGGCACCAAGUAAAACUCAACCUCAUACAUCUAGUGGAGGUAUAUACAACCUUAGGAAGAUCAUGACCUCCAAGCCAAGUUUACAUCUUUAGCUAGAAAAGUCGAGCACUAGAAUUGAAAAAGAGUGGUCAAUUAAAAUCUGUUCAAGACAUUUGUGUCAAAUCUGUGAAACAAAUGAACAUGCAACCAAUGACUGUCCAACUUUGCCUUCUUUCAAGGAAUGCCUCCAUGAACAAGCCAUGCUUUAAACAGUUUCCAAAGCCCAAUCAUAACCCAUACUCGCAAACAUACAACCUGGUUGGAGAAAUCACCCAAAUUUCAGUUGGAAGAGUGAUAACAAUAAUGCACAAACUUCAACCACCGUUUCAAGCACACCAUAAUUUCCAAAAUUCUCAUGGAUAUGCACCUCCUUAUGCUCCACCUCCUAGAAGAAAUCUUGAGGAAACAUUGCAUGCAUUCAUUGAAAAGCAAGAGACAAUCAACACUCAACUUACUCAAAGCAUGAACAUUUUAAAGAUGCUCUUGCAAAAUUCACAUCUGCUCUCAGUUUUCAAGAGAAAGGUAAGUUUCCAUCUCAACCACAGCAAAAUCCAAAGGGGCAAUACAAUGCUAAUGGAAGUAGGUUCGGAAGCCAACACAUGGAUCAAGUCAAAUAAGUCAUCACUCUUCACAGUGGUAAGUUAUUAAAAAACCCACUCUUGAACCUUGUGAGAAAAAUGCUGAGUUAAUCUCUGAGGGUAAGGAAGGGGUUGAAUCUGAACAUUGCAAAGAAAAUAUUGAUUCCCCGCCAGCACUUUCAUUUCCUCAUGCCAUGACCAAUAAAGGAAAAUCAAUCACAACUCUGAAAUCUUUGAAACAGGUAAGGAUCAAUAUACCUUUUUAGAUGCUAUUAAACAGGUCCUUCCUAUGCUAAAUUUUUGAAAGAUCUGUGCACUGUGAAGAGAAAACUGAAUGUGAAAAAGAAAGUUUUUAGCCGAACAAGUAAGUGCCAUUCUUCAGAACAAUAAUGCUUUGAAAUAUAAAACAAUUUCUUGCUUUAUUGGAGAACAUAAAAUUGAAAGAGCUUACUUGAUCUUGGAGCUAGUGUGAAUUUACUUCCAUAUUCAGUUUUUCAAAGUCUCAAUCUAGGUGAGUUAAAACCAACUCUGUAACUCUUUUACUUGCUGAUAGAUCUGUAAAAGUGCCUAGAGGAAUGUUAAGAUGUGUUAGUACAAGUUGAUAAAUUCAUUUUCCUGUGGAUUUUUUGUCUUGGAUACACAACCUGUUGAAGCAUGUAAUUCAAUUCCUGUUAUUUUAGGACGUCCAUUUCUUGCACUUCUAAUGCAUUGAUUAAUUGUAGGAAUGGACUGAUGAAGCUAUCAUUUGGAAACAUGACAUUGGAGAUGAAUAUUUUCAACAUUUACAAGCAACCUGGAGAUGAUAAUGAUUUACAGGAAGUGGACUUUAUUGAAAAAUUAGUUCAUGAUCAAUUUCAAACCACUUCUAGUGAAACUGAGAUUGAUGAAUCUGAUGCAAAUGGUCUAUUUUCAGGAAUCAAAGGCAUGCAAUUGGAGACCACAAAUUGAAGAAUUGCCACCACGAUCAAUUGAGCCCAUACCUUCAAGUGUUCAACCACCAAAACCUGAUUUGAAGCCGUUACCAUUCAAUCUCAAAUACUCAUUUUUGGGAGAAAAUGAAACUUUUCCGGUAAUAAUCUCUUCCAAACUUAAUGCACAUCAAGAAGGUAAGUUAUUACAGACUCUAAAAAUGCACAAAAAUGCAUUAGGAUGGACCAUAGCUGACAUAAAAGGAAUUAGCCCUUUGAUUUGCACACACAAGAUUUAUUUGGAGGAAAAUGCUAAACCCUCUAGAGAAAUGCAACGAAGGCUUAAUCCUAAUAUGAAAGAAGUAGUGAAAAAUGAAGUCAUUAAGCUUCUAGAUAAUGGAAUCAUUUAUCCUAUUUCUGACAGCAAAUGGGUAAGUCCUACCCAAGUUGUACCCAAAAAGUCUGGAGUCACUGUGAUAACAAAUGAGAAAAAUGAGUUAAUUCCAACUAGGACUAUUACUGGUUGGCGCAUGUGCAUUGACUAUAGGAAACUUAAUUCAAUGACUAGAAAAGAUCAUUUCCCUUUACCUUUCAUGGAUCAAAUCCUAGAAAGAGUUGCAGGUCAUGAAUUUUAUUGUUUCCUAGAUGGCUAUUCAGGUUACAAUCAAAUUGAAAUUGCAUUGGAAGAUCAAGAGAAGACUACUUUCACAUGUCCAUUUGGUACUUUUGCAUAUCGAAAUUUUGGAUUAUGUAAUGCACCAGCCACGUUUCAAAGAUGCAUGCUUAGCAUAUUCAGUGAUAUGGUUGAACGUUUUCUUGAAUUUUUAUGGAUGAUUUUUCUGUUUUUGGUGAUUCAUUUGAUGAUUGUUUGACUAACUUAGAAAAGGUUUUGAGCAGGUGUGAAGAGAAGAAUCUUGUACUGAAUUGGGAAAAAUGUCACUUUAUGGUAACAAACGGCAUUGUACUUGGUCACAUUGUUUCAUCGAAAGGAAUUGAGGUUGACAAAUCUAAAAUCGAGUUAAUUGCCAACUUACCAACACCAAAAUCUGUUAAAGAUGUUAGAUCAUUCUUAGGACAUGCUGGUUUUUACAGAAGGUUCAUCAAAGAUUUUAGUGUAAUAUCUAACCUUGAGUAACCUUCUAACAAAGGAAAUUUUUUGAAUGGACUGAACAUUGUGAAAAGCCUUUGUUAAACUUAAAACUUGCUUACUUCUGCUCCUGUCAUUCAACCUCCUGAUUGGUCAUUACCUUUUGAAAUAAUGUGUGACGCUAGUGAUUAUGCCGUGGGUGCUGUCUUGGGACAAAAAAAGAUAAGAAACCUUAUGUGAUUUACUAUGCAAGUAAAACUUUAAAUAGUGCUCAAAUGAAUUACACUACCACUGAAAAAGAAUUACUUGCAGUAGUAUUUGCAUGUGACAAGUUCAGAUCUUAUCUUGUUGGCUCACCUGUUUGUUUUUAGUGAUCAUGCAGCAUUGAAAAUAUCUUCUCUCUAAAAAGAUUCUAAGGCUAGAUUGGUGCGGUGGAUUUUGUUACUUCAAGAAUUUGAUAUCACAAUCAAAGACAAGAAAGGCACCGAAAAUGUUGUCGGAUCAUUUGUCAAGAUUGACAACCGAUUCGAGAUCUGACAUCACACCAAUCGAUGACUACUUUCCUGAUGAAUCUUUUUUUCUGUCUCUACGAUGCCUUGGUUUGCUAAUAUUUUUAAUUUUCUUGUUUCAGGACAUUUCCUAGCUCAUUGGAGUACCCAAGACAAAAGAAAGUUCUCGAACGAAGUGAAGAACUUUUAUUGGGAUAACCUUUAUUUAUUCAAAUAUUGUCCUGAUCAAAUAUUUCAAAGAUGCAUUCUUGACAAUGAGAUAAGUAGUGUCAUUAAAUUUUAUCAUUCUGAAGCAUGUGGGGGUCAUUUCUCAUCAAGAAAGACAACUGCAAAAAUCUUACGAAGUGGAUUUUACUGGCCCACCAUAUUUAAGGACUCAUAUACAUUCUGUAAGACUUGUAAAAAUUGUCAAAAGAUAAAUUAGGCCUUUAUUAAUCAAAUAUUAGAUUAAUUAAUCUAACAUUAUAUGAAUAUUAAAGAUAAAUUAGGCCUUCAUUAAUAAUAAAUAUGUAAUUACAUGAAUAUAAUCAUGUCACGUGUAACCAACUGAUUGGCUACAGUACAUAUUAAACUAACAAUAUCGCACUUGCACUAAAGCCAAUAUCGCACUUAUACUAUCACACAGUAUAUAUGUAGCAUUAAUGCUUCUACAUAGAUAAUGACUUAGUAAGAGAAUCUUAUAGGUUCUCUUUGAUGGGUACUCACUCUAUCUUUACAUCUUUCAUUUCAUUCAUUUAUCAAAUUAAAUAGAAUUUUGUAAGUACUUGUUUGGAUCAUUGAUAAGACCUUGGUUUUUUUUUUUUAUGCAAUGACACCAUUAUUAUCAUAGUACAUGACAAUUGGAUCAACAAUGCUAUGAACCAACCUAGUUCAUUGAUGAACUUCUUAAUCCAAACAACCUCUUUGUCUUCUAAAAUGUGAAGGUAUACUCUUAUUUAGUUGUAGAAUCAAUUGUGCUUUUUUAUUUGGAAUUCUUCCAACUCAAAACACUACCAUUUAGAAUAAAACAUAUAUUGACUGGUAUUUACUAUUUUUCAAACAUUUCAUUGAAAAAAUAUUAAUUCAAACAAUUUUGAACUUUUGGUUUAUCUUCUCUAUUGAUGGAUCCUAGAGCCAAGUAUAGGAUAUCAUUUCCAUCAUAUCUCUCUCAAUCUAUGUCUUAGAACACAUAUCUUUGGAGGGAGGUGUUCUAUUCAAAAUAGAUAAGAAUUUAAUCUUAGAUUCUUUCAUGCUAAGCUAUUUUACCAUCUAGUCUGUAUGCAUGUAUUGAGAUAAUCUAAUCAACCAUCUAGAUCUAUUUCUAUAGAUCUCUAAAUCCAAUAUAUAGGUUGUUUCUUCUAAUUUUUUUAUGGAGAAAUUCUAGGACAACUAAAACUUUACUGAUUAAAGUAAAAAUAUGUCCUUUAUUAACAAUAAUAUGUCAUUUACAUAUAAUAUUAGGAAAACUACACCACUCACACUAGCCUUUUGUAAACACAAGGUUUAUCCAUAUUUUUUAUAAAAUAAAAUUUGUUAUUAUACCAUCAAAAUUGGAUAUUACUACUCAAAGCUUGCAUUGUACAUUUAUACAUUGCCUUUCAUGUUAGUCUCUCUCUUAAAAAUCCACAUAGAUCUAUUAGGUUUUAUUCAUUUAGGUGGAUCAACUAAGUUCUAAACUUAGUUAGUACAUGAAGUCAUUUCUUGUAAUAAAUAUCAUAUAUUACUUCUAAGUAAUUAGUAAACUCGUUAAUUAUGAGCAACAUGUAAUUCACAUCUUCCAUGAGAAGUCCUUAUUUCAUUUAUGCAUGAUUUUCUACUAAAUUUAUAAAGAUUUUGUGUUUUUUGAGGUUCAGGCUAACAUCCAUUGUUUUAGCCUUGGGAAUAUAUUUCAUUUGAACAUAGUGUUCUAAGAGGUGUAGAGAAUCUUAUUCUCUUUUAGAUAAUCCUUGAAAUAUUUGGUCAAAUAUUAGUUAUCUCAAUCCAAUCGAAGUUUUUUAAUACUUAUUUCAAUAUGUAUUUCAAUUUUAUUGCGGUUAUAUUGAACCUAGGCAUAUUAAAUUCAGAUAUAUACAAAUCAUUCAUAUAAUUACCGGGAUCCAUAAGAACAUCAUUAUUAUAAAAUAAAAUAAAAACAACAUUUGUCCUCAAUAAUAAAUUUAAAUCCAUUUAAUAUUAAAUAAAAUGAAAACAAUGUCUUAAAAUAUUGAAACAAAAUAACAAUUAUGAAGUUCUAGUAUCAACUCAUUAGGGAAAACAAAAUAACUAGUUUCUAUAACAAAUGCAUAACGAGUUGAUACAAUUAAUGCAACAACCCUUGCUUCAUGCAAUUGCAAAUGUGAAAAUCACAUUUGGUAUCCAAUACCCAAGAACUACAAUGCAAAUUAGUAAGAUAGUUUUCGAUUAUAAACAUACCUAAAGUAAAAGCUUCAUUAAGCUACUUUGCCUUCACGGUUGCAAGGUAUUCCUUGAAAUUCCUCCUCUAAUGUCUUUCUUUGACACAAUGAUUACAAGAGCUCUUGUCUUUCUUAAUGCCCUGAGUAGGUUUGUUUGCUUUAGAGAUAGCACCCUUAUUUUUCUCAUCCUUCUUAUUACACAUUCUAGAAUAAUGAAGUAGAAGAACCAGGCAUUUUUCCUUCUUAAAGGCCCAUUUAGUAGUCUUAAGCAUAUUAAGCAAUUCUAGCAAUGUACUAUCCAACUUGUUCAUGUGAUAGUUCAUAAUGAAUUGUGAAAUGCUUUGGGGUAAUGAAUGUAAGACCAAGUCAACAUUUAACUCAAGAUCCAUGACAAAACCCAAUUGGCCUAAUUCCUCAAUAUAGCCAAUCAUUCUUAAAAUAUGGGUGUUCACUGAAGAACCCUUUAUCAUUUUGCAGCAGAAUAAUUCCUUGAAGGUCUUAUACCUCUCAAGCAUAUUGGCCUCAUCAAACCAUUAUUUGAGAUGCAUAAUCAUAGUAUGGGAAUCCAUAUUUCCAUAUUGCCUUUAAAGUUCAAGUGGCAUACUGUCUAACAGCACACAUGCAGCUUGUUCAUCGUCAUCAACAUGACGUUAAUGUUCAUUCCUAACUUACUCUUCAACAUCCUCAGCAGGGGCAUUUGGAAUUGUAUUUUCUAGAACAUACAACAUCUUUUCUUGCUUGAGAACAAUUUUUACAUUUCGAUGCCAAUCUAGAAAAUUUUGUUCGGUCAAUUUGUUAGCAUCAAAUAUUCUUCGUAGAGAUAUGUAACUACUCAUUUAGAAUACCAACCUAUUUAUAUAAAGAUAGACUAUAUUAGUUUCAAACAUACAUAUUUAAAUUCCAAAUUUAAAUAAGAUCUUUAAUUCUAAUUUAUUCUCUCACUAUUUUCUUGCAAAUUAAUAGUCCUCCUUAUUAAUUUGAGAAAUCUCACUUAGAUUUUUCUAGUGAGCUAGGAUCCCAUUUAAUUUAUUCGACGUACCUUAAGUGAUUUAAUAAAUCAAAAUAAAAUAAAUUAGAUAAAUAACAUAGUUUAUCAAUCACAUCUUAUAUGACUUAUGGAUCAGUUAGCUGAUAACUCUUUUCUAAGCAUAUCUUAAAUGUUUCUCCUAACUCAUGCCUCUAACCUCAUAUGAUCAUGAGUGACUCAUCCAAAUUAAAUAGAUGUUGGCACCACUACUUGUGGUUAUUGCAACUACCUAAAACCAUUUUAAAAAACAUUAAUGGUAAAUUCUGGCUAGAUUUUGCUGGACUAAUAACCAGAAAGAAUAAUGAGAAAAAAUAUUUUUGGAAAAAAUAAAUUUGCAUAUAAAUUUAAUUCGCAAUUAACAUCAUUAACAAUUAAAACAUGCAAUCAACAACUCUAAUUGUCUAAUGAAGACUCGGAUGCCACUGUUGGGUUCCCAAAUAUCAUACACGUAGUGAAAACAAUAAAACAAAAUUAUUUGGGAGCCUUAGGAUUCCGUUAGACAGAUAUAGAUUGUUUAGAGAUUUAUUAUAUGAAGAUUUGCUCUUCUUCCACUUUGAAUAAUUUUUUAAAUGAUGGGUUUCCACAAAUCAUAAGUUGUCCAAUUAUCCGACCUCCAAAAGUACUUCACGCGAACCACCAGUGAGAAAUCUUCUAUAUCCCUAUUUAGAAGAGAGGAAUUGCUAUACCUAGAGUGUUAGAUCUCAUAUAACAUACGUAAUUUUUCUGUCUAACAGAUAACCAUUCAAAAAUAAAACGUAUAGCUUACUAUUUAUAGUGAGAUCUAAAAAUCUUUAUAAAUUAAUAAAAUAUCAAUUUGCCACUUGAAUAAUAUCCAUAUAUUAAUUCACGAUAAUUUUAGAAAUUAAUUCAAUCAAGUCCUUACUUAAUUUUUCUAGGUUUAUAAAUAUAAUUUUGUUUUUAUUAUAUUGAGGUUUCUAAUUUCUAAAAUAUAUUUUAAUAAAGUCAUACUUAGUUAAAUCAUUACUGAUUAAUUUCUGACUAAUAAUUUUUCAUGUAUAUGAUCUUUUAAUAUAAUAAUAUAAUAUGUAAUCAACACGGGAUUAUAAAUCAUCUCCAAGUAGAAUUGAGCACACAUGCAGCUUGUUCAUCGUCAUCAACAUGCAGCUUGUUCAUCGUCAUCAACAUGACGUUAAUGUUCAUUCCUAACUUACUCUUCAACAUCCUCAGCAGGGGCAUUUGGAAUUGUAUUUUCUAGAACAUACAACAUCUUUUCUUGCUUGAGAACAAUUUUUACAUUUCGAUGCCAAUCUAGAAAAUUUUGUUCGGUCAAUUUGUUAGCAUCAAAUAUUCUUCGUAGAGAUAUGUAACUACUCAUUUAGAAUACCAACCUAUUUAUAUAAAGAUAGACUAUAUUAGUUUCAAACAUACAUAUUUAAAUUCCAAAUUUAAAUAAGAUCUUUAAUUCUAAUUUAUUCUCUCACUAUUUUCUUGCAAAUUAAUAAUCCUCCUUAUUAAUUUGAGAAAUCUCACUUAGAUUUUUCUAGUGAGCUAGGAUCUCAUUUAAUUUAUUCGACGUACCUUAAGUGACUUAAUAAAUCAAAAUAAAAUAAAUUAGAUAAAUAACAUAGUUUAUCAAUCACAUCUUUAUAUGACUUAUGGAUCAGUUAGCUGAUAACUCUUUUCUAAGUAUAUCUUAAAUGUUUCUCCUAACUCAUGCCUCUAACCUCAUAUGAUCAUGAGUCACUCAUCCAAAUUAAAUAGGUUAGUUAAGUAAAACCUAAUUUUAUAGCAUUAAAUAUAUUCGAUUAACGGUAACUAUUCAUGUUCCCAAUAUGCACUUAAUAUAUUAAUGAGGUAUUUGUUAUGAAUUAGUUAGAUCUUAUACAUAACAUCGUAUAACAUAUAUAUAUUUUAUACAUAACAAUUUAUAUAUAAACAUACACCCCUAGCAUGUCAUUAUAAUUGGAUGAUUAUGGACAUAUCUAAGCUAAUUCCUUUGAGUCAUUGAAGGGAAUUGGAUGGUCAAAACAUAAGUAGCUAUAGAAAGUCUUUAUAAGUCCAUUGCAAGAACCUCGAUUGAAGAUUUGCUCUUCUUCCAUUUUGAAUAAUUUUUUAAAUGAUGGGUUUCCACAAAUCACAAGUUGUCCAAUUAUCCGACCUCCAAUAGUACUCCACGCAAACCACUAGUGAGAAAUCUUCUAUAUCCCUAUUUAGAAGAGAGGAAUUGUUAUACCUAGAAUGUUAGAUCUCAUAUAACAUACGUAAUUUUUUUGUCUAACAGAAAACCACACAAAAUAAAACGUAUAGCUUACUAUUUAUAGUGAGAUCUAAAAAUCCUUAUAAAUUAAUAAAAUAUCAAUUUGCCACUUGAAUAAUAUCCAUAUAUUAAUUCACGAUAAUUUUAGAAAUUAAUUCAAUCAAGUCCUUACUUAAUUUUUCUAGAUUUAUAAAUAUAAUUUUGUUUUUAUUAUAUUGAGGUUUCUAAUUUCUAAAAUAUAUUUUAAUAAAGUCAUACUUAGUUAAAUCAUUACUGAUUAAUUUCUGACUAAUAAUUUUUCAUGUAUAUGAUCUUUUAAUAUAAUAAUAUAAUAUGUAAUCAACACGGGAUUAUAAAUCAUCUCCAAGUAGAAUUGAGCAAAGACUGAACCUGCAUGACAAAACUCAAAUGAGCAAUUAAAUAGACAACAGAAAUUAUGCCUUAAUGACAUAAAAAUAAAAAAACCCAAUGAACCUCCCAUCCAGUGGACCAACCAAUCAAGUCAAGAAAUACCAAAUUUUGAAACUUAUAUUCAAAAUUUUGUUAUGUGAAAAGACAACAUUAUCUUUUUUGAAGGUGCAAGCCUUCGGGUUGUAAUUAUUUUACAGGAACAUCCGAUAAUACUGCUAACCAGCCUUCAAUUGGAAAUCCUGCGGAAAAGUAUCUGUGCACCAUAUUGAGGCUGCAAGCUUAUAAAGAGCAUUGGAGCGUGAACAUAGGUUGGGGAUACUAUGAAAGAGUAAUGUUUGAUGAUCAUAGCUAGGACAAUUUUUGCCUCAACAAUGGCUAAAUUUUGACCAACACAAAUUCUGGGACCUAUCCCAAAUGGGAAAAAUGAAGCUAAGUGAUUUCGAGACUCAUUAAAUCUCGAGGGAUGGAAUUCACUGCCAUCUUCUCCCCAUUUAUCAGUAUCAUGAUGGACAGCAGUCAAGGAAAAAUAGAGUUGAGUGCCAGCAGCUGGAGGGUAGAGCCGAAGUGUUUCAUUGAGUAUCAAGUUAACCUGCAAGAUGUGAUAUUAACAAAAAGAAAUUUAGAAUUACUAUGAUGUAGAAGAUCAAAACGGCACCCUUUUAAGAUUCUUACAACUCUGUCGGGCUAGUAUUCUAAGCUUACAAUCUUGAGAUCGUUUAAAUUCUCUGCCACUGGAAGAUCAUUCCCUCCACAGACAGAAAACACUUCUUCCCUUGUUUUGUUUUGCCAUCCUUGAUGUAAUGCUAUAAAAUGCAUUUAUCAGAGCUUGAGAAACUAAAUGUAUUUGUUGUUCCUGUAAUGUAAAUGUGCGCUUCCCUUCUUCAUAACUGCUUCCAAAAGCAGUUCUGGAUAUAAUAUCUGCUGAGAGGUCAUGAAGUUCUUUAUGCACAUCCAUCUCAAACUCAUCUCUCUCUCCUCUUAUUCCCUCCCAUUUCUCUAGCAUCUGGCAAUGCUUCCCACAAUUUCUGGAACCCAACCCUGUCAAAUAGAUUUUGGUGUCAACAGUUUGAUGAAAUUUGGAUCAAAUUUGCAAGGAUUAUGAGGAACCACAAGGACUGCAGAAGGUUUUACAUGCUUGGAUGAGUGUGAUUCUGAACCUCUAAUGGUUUGGAACUCUAUUCGUAAGGUAUAUUUCCACCCUGAACCUGUUGAGUUGAAUACUUAGGAUUAGCAUUGCGAGAGAUUUAUUUAAAAGACUGACACAAGGAGUGUGUUCUUAUGAUCAUUCCAAAUUACUUCUUCGAUGUUUCAUUUCGGUCAUGUGGACCUAACAAGGCCAUUAGAGAACCCAAAGUAUUUUCUGUCUACAAUGAUAAUAAGCCCAGUACAAGAAUUGAUGAACUUACAAGCUUACCUUAACUCGCUCCUUCUAUGUAGAGCCCAUUUGUGAUCCUUCUAUGUAGCCCAUUUAUCACCAUCAAGCCCAACAAGCCCAUUUAUCACCAUCAAGCGCAACAAGCCCUCCUCCAAACAGAACUUUUGAUUGUAUUCAUUAGAAUCUCCUUAAUCAUAUCUGGAUCGGACAUAGCCAAUCUGGGCUUGGAUCCAAACCAGUAGAGGAAAGUCUUCCCGUACUUGCAUGACCAUUCGUAGUACAGUGGAGCCACACGGUGAAGAAUAUCAUGGUUGAUACGUGUUGACUUUGACUCUGCUGUAGCAGCAAAUAAACGGCGGAUCUCUGCUAAGUUGCCGAAGAUGAUCUCGUAUUUAGGGCCACUUAUGCCUUGUUUCUUGAAAUGGGUUUGGAUUCUUAGAGGAACCCAUAUCAUUGAGAAAGUGAGUUUCAAGAUGCAAAAAAGCAGCAAGAGGAUCAGAACUAGAAGAAGAGAAGGCAUGGUGAAAUACUGAAUCCAAACAGAAGAGAUCAGCAAUGGACAAGAGGGAGAGGGAGAGGGAGAGGGAGGGAGGGAGGGAGGGAGGGAGGGAGGGAGGAGAGAGAGAGGGUUUAAAACAUAGUUAUUAAACCUCAUCUAGGCGGGUUUCAUCGAGUCAAUUUAGAUCAACUCGAAAAAUAAAAUAAAAUUAAAUUUAAAUAUUUUAUAUAAAAAAAGAAAGGAGGGUUUAAAGCAUAGUUAUUAAACCUCAUCUAGGCGGGUUUCAUCGAGUCAAUUCAGAUCAACUCGAAAAAUAAAAUAAAAUUAAAUUUAAAUAUUUUAUAUAAAAAAAUUAAGAAAAAAUUCAUGUAAAUAUAAGUUAUACAUGUUGUAAAUAAUGAAGUUUAAAAAAAUAUUUUAAAAUGUUUUUUUAUCUCAUCUUAAAAAGAUAUUAUGUUAAGUUUUUAAGUUGAAGUUUUUAAACUAAAAAAGUUUUUUAUCCCACAUUGAAAAAAUAUAAUUUUUUUCUUGAAAACAUAGAAUAUAUAUAUUAAUGGUUUCAAAUUCCACAUUGAAAAAACAUUUUUUUUUUUGUGAACAUAGAGUAUAUAUACUAAUGGGUUUUAAAUCCCAUAUUAAAAAAAGAUAGUUUUUUUCUUGGGAAUAUAGAGUAUAUAUACUAAUGGGAUUCAAAUCCCACAUUAAAAAGUGAUAUGUUAUCCUUUUAAAUUUAAGUAUUUAAAACAAAAGGUUUUUUAUCCCACAUUAAAAAAACAUAACUUUUUUUCUUGAGAACAUAGAGUAUAUAUACUAAUGGAUUUUAAAUCCCAUAUUUGAAAAGAAAAAAAACACCGGGUCUCGCCCAAGUCGCCGGGUCACGGGUUGAUCUACUGAGUCGACCGGGUUUGGCUGGGUUAUUGCACUGACCGGUCUUUUAAUAAACUCGGACCAAUCUAGAUUUAAUAACUAUAGUUUAAAGUGCUAAUUAAGGUUGCUUAUUUUAUAUUUGCGUAGUUGAAAAUUAGAUUAUAUUAUUUUUGUAUGGUAUUGGUGAUCAAUUUCUUUUGGUGACUUUCGUUGAAAAACUUGAAACCAUAGGCUACGUAAGGUGUCGAUUAUGGGCGGAAAGUCGGAAACAAGCGAAAAUAUAUUGUUUAAAAAAGGCCAUGGGAUUAGUGGAAUGCGUAGAUCAUGCAUACAUUAAUUAAUCCUUAGUUAAAAUAUCUCAUGUGAAGCCGAUAAACGGCUAUUUAUUACAGAACACUCUUUAAAAAAACCUUGAUUUCUCAAGCGAGCCUUCAUUGCAUCAUGUGAAGAUGUAAAAUUUGACAAAAGCAACAAUGGGCCAACCGCAAGCUAGAAUUUUUUGAAUGGAUUCACAUUGGAACUUCAAUCCAUUGGUUAUAAAAGUCAAAAGAUUGGUGUUUUUUUUUUUUUGGGUUUGCCGCUGGAAAUAACUGGAUUUUGAUGUCUACAUAAUUGGAUUGUGGCUCGAGCUUAGUGAAAAUGACAGUCAGGAUAAUUGAUCAAAAUUUUGAAAUUCUUCACCGAAUUGCUUUGGCUGGUUGUCAAUCCUCUACAGAGCUGAUAAGCUAUAAGGUAAUUAUUUUUGACAUAUGGUGAUAUGCUAGAUUCUAAAAGAAACUUGAAUUCAGUUGUAAGCCUAAGAAAACAUGAGAGUGGCAAAUAAAGUAGGGUGAAUAUACUGUUGCUUUUGAGGAACUAAAAGCCCACCUCUCAUCUCCUAAAAUUUUGUCCCAACCUAGAGAGGGUAACGAUCUCUUCCUUUAUUUAGGAGUAUUAGACUUGGUUGUAAGCAUUGUUAUGGUUAAAGAAGACAAAGGGGUGCAACACCUAGUCUAGUUUUCAAAUCACACCCUUCAUAAAGUCAUAAACUAGAUAUUUAAUGGUGGAGAAUAUGGCCCUUGCUUUGGUGAACACUUCUAGGAAACUCAAGCCAUAUUUCUAAGCCCACUAGAUCAUCAUACUCUUAGGCUAGCCCUUAAGAUAGAUCCUCCACUAGCUAGAAAUGUUUGGACGACUGGUGAAAUAGGCCAUUAAACUAGGAGAAUUUUGACUUCAAUACAAACCUUGACCAACCAUAAAGAGUCAAGCCUUAGCAUACUUUAUUAUUAAGUAUACUUUUGAGAAUUUAAAGGAUAUAUCUAAACUAUAAUCUUCAAUUGUAGCUUUUACUACAUCAGAUGCGCCAAUAGAACAACCACUACAAGCCCCUACUUAGAACUUGUAUGUUGAUGGAUCCUCUAAUAUCAAUGGAAGCAGAGCUAGAAUACUAUUGAUCAGUCUAAAUGAGCAAGUCUUUGAAUAUGGGGUUCGCUUUGAAUUCUCAACUACAAAAUAUGUCAGAAUAUAAAGCUAUUCUUGUUGGAUUAUGUCUAGCAGAAGCCCUAAAUGCAUAUCAUAUGCAAGUUUACAGUGAUUCCCAACUGGUGGUGAAUCAAUGUCAAGGAAUAUAUGAGGCCAAUGAACCUAUAACGCAAUUAUAUCUUCAAAAAGUUUUACUUCACUUAAGAAAUGAAAACAAAAAAAUUUCACUGUGUCUCAUCUCAAGAGACAACAAUCAGCAGGCAUAUCUCUUAUUAAAUGUAAACACCCAACAAAAAACAAAACUUAAGCCAGAAACAACUCCAUUGUUGUUGUUGAUUUCUGAAUCGAUAAAGACACAGUUUUCGUUGUCAAUUUAUAAGUCGACAGCAACACAGUUUUUAUUAUCAAUUUCUAAGUCUGUAGGGACGUAGUUGUUGUUGAUGAUUUCUGAGUCAAUGGUGGCUGGGUGCGUAGAGGAAUCCAUGUGUUUUGUAAAACCUCGAUAAAAAUUUAGUCUUAGGCUGACCCAUGUUAGGAAGAAUUGAGGAGUAUGGACCGACCUGCUCUAAGGGGAAGUGUGAGGGAGUAGAAACCGACCUAUUCUAAAUAGGAACUAUGAAGGAUAUGACCAGCCCUAGGAUGAACCAAAUAAGGAUAAGAACAAGGGAAACUAGCCUUCCAAACACCCCUCCACAUUUAAAGGGGGUAUAAAUGCAAUAAUGGAGAGAGAAUGACCUUUGCUCUCCAAAAAAAUAGAAGUUGUCAUUGCAGUUGCAGUAGCUACCCCUCCCAAGAAGAUAAUCGAACCAGACAGCCUGCAUGCCAAGCCCCAUGAGUGUAGAGUGAGAAGAGAGUUGGGAAAGAAGGAGCCUAGAUCUCUCCCCUAAAAUCAACUACAACUUUGCUUAAACAGCCUCCUUUUCUUUCAAAAGAACUUACCACCAAACUCAGCUGCAUGUUGUCUUCUUUGGGUACUUAAGUGAAGGAGAGUUAAGGAGAAAGGUGGCAACUUAAACCAUGAAAGAAAAGGGAACCUAAGGGCGGGCUGGUGCAGAAGAAGAAGAAAGAUAGGAAAACUGAAAAUAGAAAAAGAUGAAGAAACCAUCAAAACCCUCAUUAGGAUUGUUAAAAACAUAAGAUAUGAUUUAUAAUGUUUUCUUGGCUGAAUUUUACCUCAUAGUUGGACCAAGAAGAAAGGGGGAAACUCUAAAAAAAGAGAAAAGUAAUGUUCUUACACCUUAACUCAAAGAUCUAUAACUAAAUAAAAAGAUUCAAGAGAAUAGAAGAUGAAAGAAAACAGGUGCAGACCUUUUACAAAAGAAUCAUGAAUGACUUUGAAUGUGUGAGCUUAAGAGGAGGGUAGGCUUUAGUGAGGGCUAGAUAAAACACAAAUUUAAGGUGAUGAAAUGCAUGGAUUGUGACCUUGUUAGAACCUUAGACCCUGUUGAAAUCAAAACUAGAAGCAUGUUGGUGUUAAUGACGUAAAUUUCUGCUUGUGUUUGAUGAAAUUGUAUAAUAAUAUGUUAGGAUGAUGUUAUGUGCCAAAUUAUAUUGCCUUUGAACCUUAAAGAGCAUGCUAGAGCUGAAAAACAGAGACCAUAUUAGGUUGAUGCCCAAAUUCUAUUUGCAUGAUUGAUGAAACUACAUGUUUAUGUACCAUAUGAAUGAAGGUCUGAUUGAGUAUGCUGACGAUCUCAAUGUCGGUUGUGAAAUUAUGUUGGGUUGAUGAUUUUUUAAUCGAAAACAACUCAAUUUUCAUCAACAAUUUCUGAGUUAGGUGUGAACCAUGUACGCUGACAAUUCCAGCAUUAGUUGUGAACCUGUGUUGCGCUGAUGAUUUUUUAGUCGGCAAUGACUCAGUUUUCGUCAACAAUUUCUAAGUCAGUUGUGAACCAUAUACGUUGAUGAUUUCAGUGUCAGCCGUGAAAUUGUGUUGCGUUGAUGAUUUCUGAGUUGGCACCGACUUAGUUUUUGUCAACGAUUUUUGAGUUAGCUAUGAACCAUGUAUGCUAAUGAUUUCAGCGCCAGCUGUGAAAUUGUGUUACGUUGACAAUUUCUGAGUCGGCAGUGACUCAAUUUUUGUCAACAAUUUGCAUCAGCAAUGGCCUGCAUGCGUUGAUGAUUUCUGCCAAAUAAGGGCCACUAGCGAACCAAUUUCGCUGAUGAAUUUGUGUUCUAGCGAGUCAAUUUAAUGACAAGUUUGCUUUACUAACGUACUAACAAACCAACUUCGCUGCCGAAUUCUAUGUUCCAGAUAAUCAAUUUGCUAACGAGUUUGCGUAACCAGCGAAUCAAAUUCGCUGAUGAUUCUUUGUUCCAACAAAUUAGUUUGCUGACUAAUCUCCAUUACCCACGAAUCAGUUUCAUUGAUGAAUUUCUACGGCAGAUUACAUAUCAAAAUUGGUUCAAUGAUUAAAAUGAUUGCAUUGCAUGAUUGUAAUCUCUAGAACACUCGAAUGUGAACAUGUAUUCUUGAGAUAUGUAUGGUGACGAGUUAUGUAAUUUCUGAAUUCAAAUGUGUUGAUUUAUGAUUAAUGGCGUGUUAGGUGGUGCGACUAGGAUAGGGCUUUCGACCGGACAAGGACACCCCACAAGAGGAAUAGGUUGGUGAUUUCCACCUUUUUCUUGUAAAAUGUUAAUGUUUUGAAAUGACUUAUAUGAGGAUUAUAUAUUAUUGUGUUGUGAUGAAUGUUAAAUGAACUAUGAAAUGAUGAUUAGGAUGUUGAUGAAUGUUAAACCAAUUAUGAAAUGUGGGUUCAGUUGUUCAUGAAAAUGUUAAUGUUCUGAAAUGACUUGUUUGAGGAUGGUAUAUUAUUGCAUGGUGACGAAUGUUAAACUAACUAUGAAAUAUUGAUUGAGUUGUUAAUAAAAUUGCGUUGUUAACAAAAGUUUAACCGACUAUGAAAUGUUGAUUGGGUUGUUGAUGAAUGUUGAACCGGUUAUGAUAUGUGGAUUGAGUCGUUGAUGAAUGUUAAAUCAAUUAUGAGAGAUUGAUUGAGCUGUUGAUUAGCUUCAGCUAAAGGCAUCCAAGAUGGAUGACCUGGAUGUGAUUGAUGAUUAGCUUCGGCUAAUGGCAUCCAAGAUGGAUAACCGAGUUGUGCUUGAUGAUUAGCUUCGGCUAAUGGCAUCCAAGAUGGAUAACCGAGUUGUGUUUGAUGAUUAGCUUCGGCUAAUUGCAUCUAGGAUGGAUGACCUGGAUGUGAUUGAUGAUUAGCUUAGGCUAAUGGAUCCGAGAUGGAUGACCGAGUUGUGUUUGAUGAUUAGCUUCGGCUAAUUGCAUCCAAGACGGAUGAACAAGUUGUGAUUGAUGAUUAAUUUUGGCUAAUGGCAUCCUAUAUGGAUAGUCGAGUUGAUUAUGUUUGUCGCACCCCAAAAAAAUCAGCGCGCGACAUCGGCUGGCGAUUUUUCGUCUCGUUGCGUAAUGUUUGAAUUUGGUUCGUUAGAGUCGCCAUUCUGUCGCACCCCAAAAAAAUCAGCGCGCGGCAUCGGCUGGCGAUUUUUCAUCUCGUUGCGUAAUGUUUGAAUUUGGUUCGUUGGAGUCGCCACCUAGUAAUUGAUUUCGGGCUACUAGGAAACCGGAUGUACUGGUCUUGUCAGAGAUUCGCGGGUAAGGGACUGGUUGUGGUUAGGGAAGGUAUUAGCACCCCUAACGCACCCUACCUGAGGUAAGCUGCUUCGUGGCUUUGACGUGUUAAAGAAGUUUUAAUAAUUGUCUUUUCAUCGGAAAUUAGAAAUAUCACUUACGUAUAAGUUAAUAAUUCUUAACCGUGAUCCGAUCAAAAAAUUAAAUUCUUCUUUAAUAUAUUUGCAAUUUUAUCAUUAAAACUAUAUACAAAUAAAUAAAACAAAAAUACAAGCACACAUUCACUUUCACUAUUUUCAUUUCUUUUCUUUCCUUUUUCUUUUUCUUUUCUUUUCUUUUCUUUUCUUUUCUUUUACAUCCACAAUACAAAUACAAAUACAAAUUCAAAAUAAAUAAAUAAAAAUUACAUUAAUUACUCUAAAAAUUACAAAAUAGUCCCUAAAAACUCCAGAAAUUGCAGGGUUGGUUGAGGAUUGUUAGAAAACUUUAUAACAGCUUGGUAAUCUUGGCAGCGCCCAGAAACUUGUAGUAUCGCCACUACCGACGUGUGGAAUCACAUAUUGUCUCUAUUGGAAGAGCACCUGAUGAAUCUAAAACUCCUUUGUCCCCUCUUCGAUUUCUCACUGACAGUGCAGCAAACAAACACCUAUAGAGGAAGUCCUGCUCUGUUGAAGUUUCAGUAUUCUUCAUGUUUUUCAGUCUAGGCAUGCCUCUUCUCUCUACUUUUGCGUUUUAAUACUGACACUGUUGGAGGAAAAUCAUAGAUACCUGAAACUACUGUAUUCCUUCUUGGCCUUCCCACUUGCGGAUCCACAAACAGAUUCCUGUUGAGUGAGCUUUGCUACGUUGAAGUUUGAUGUCUGCUCAUAUUUUUCAGACCAGGUCUGGCUCUUCAACCUACUAAGAGGUCUUCGUGCUGAAACUGAUGAGAGAAAUAUUUGUAGCAUAUGCAACUUAUAAAUCCCCUCUUGCCUUCCCAAUUUGCAGAGCCAUAAAUUGAUUUUUGUAGAGAGAGCUCUGCCACAUUGAAGUUCAGUGUUCAAUCAUGGUUUUUCAGACCAUCUUGUGCUGCUGAACUGGAAUUGAGCUCGUAACCGGGGUAACUUCAAAGCAGAUUAAUGCACCAUGUACAGGAGACCGGUAGUUGUUUGGUUCCAUUAGAUGAUGUGGAGGCGAUGAACAUUUAACAAUGCAACUGGAUAAGAACCAGAGUUGUCAUUAGUUGAUGACUGAAGGCGUUGUUGCUUUUGUUCAUGACGAAAAAGGAGAGAUACAGCUUCAAUUAGAUGUGAACAAGCAGUGUUCCCACGGAAGACUGUGCAGAUAUUCUCUUUCCAUUUGAUGUUCAACACUUGUUCGAGCAGAUCUGAGUCUAGCUACUUCACAUUUAAUGCUCUCAACCUUAAUCUGAUAAUGAGCCUCUAUCUGACACCUUUCUUCACCUCCAUCAUUUUUCUCCAAUCACGUGCAGCACAGCUUGUGUGGGGGACCUACCUUUCAGCCCGGUACAUGCAUGAUAAAUGUAUGAACAUGUAAUCUAUAUGAUGAACUCACCCUUCGAGAGGUGACAAUAUGGUCGUAACUCUUGUAUGAUGGACAAGAAUCGUGAUUUUUGCCCAAACUCUACAAUGAAAAUUUUCGGAGCAACGGCCAAUGUGUCACCCAUAAGUCUUGAGUUCAAGAUGCUUCAAGAAGGGUUUGCCCUUAUGCAAAAAACGAUAGCACAUACAACCUAAGGACAGGUUCUAUUCAUUAUGUGAACAUGGGUAGGUUUUCUAUCUGGUCUCAAAAGGGUCUCAUAUCUGUCUAGUGACGUUCUUCGUAAAGACAGUAUGGGGGCGUUGCGUAAUGUUUGAAUUUGGUUCGUUGGAGUCGCCACCUAGUAAUUGAUUUCGGGCUACUAGGAAACCGGAUGUACUGGUCUUGUCAGAGAUUCGCGGGUAAGGGACUGGUUGUGGUUAGGGAAGGUAUUAGCACCCCUAACGCACCCUACCUGAGGUAAGCUGCUUCGUGGCUUUGACGUGUUAAAGAAGUUUUAAUAAUUGUCUUUUCAUCGGAAAUUAGAAAUAUCACUUACGUAUAAGUUAAUAAUUCUUAACCGUGAUCCGAUCAAAAAAUUAAAUUCUUCUUUAAUAUAUUUGCAAUUUUAUCAUUAAAACUAUAUACAAAUAAAUAAAACAAAAAUACAAGCACACAUUCACUUUCACUAUUUUCAUUUCUUUUCUUUCCUUUUUCUUUUUCUUUUCUUUUCUUUUUUUCUUUUCUUUUCUUUUACAUCCACAAUACAAAUACAAAUACAAAUUCAAAACAAAUAAAUAAAAAUUACAUUAAUUACUUUAAAAAUUACAAAAUAGUCCCUAAAAACUCCAGAAAUUGCAGGGAAGGACUCCUGGGGGCUGUGUGAACAGUGCCGGCGCGUGGGUCCACGCGCCACCGCAGAAAAAGGGAGCCGGUGGAUCCGGCUCGUCUCUGUUUCCUCCUCUUUUCCUCGCCGGCGGUGGGGAGUGACAAUCACCUGCAAAGAAGAAAAAACGCAAUCUAGUUGGUUUUAAUUUUGUUCUUAGUCACGGAUCUGUUUUUUUCUUCUCUGUUUUGGGAUCUGUGUUUGUUCUUUCUCCGGUCUACUCUUGGGGCUUCGUCGUCUUCUUCUCUGCUCAGGCAGUCGGGCGGCGGCUAGUUGAGGGUGGAUCUAUGGUCGUCGGGUCUAUUUGGUGACCCCGUGACCGCUGCUGGGUCGUUACUGGCGUGCUGCGGCUGGGUCUGAGCACGGCGUUGAGAGGCAGAUCGGAGGAAGAGACUGCUGAGAGGGGGAGGGUCUGGUGCUGGUCGCUGCGUUCGGGCCGGUUGAAGGUUGGGGAGUGGGCGGUCCGUUCACGGUGGCUGAGAACCGGUUGAGAGGAGAGUGAGGCAGAUGAAGGAGAAGGGCUACGGGUUUGUUUCGGGCUGUUGUUUUGGAUUUGUUUGUGGCCGAGAGAAAGGGAACGGCGGAGAAGAAGAUGAAAACAGGGGGAGGCUGGUUCGGGUGGCCGGUUUUUGGGUCAGAAAAAUCAAACCGAGGAGCAACUCCAGGAGACCAAAAAUGAAAACCAGGGGGGCGGCUGGUUUUUUUUCUUUUGUGCAGGGAGAGGGGAAGGUCUCGGUGACCGGUUUCUGGUUAAGGUGAAAAAUAUGGGGGAACAGCGUGGGUAGAAGCUGAGGGAAGGGCUGUUUGGCUUUGGUUUGUGGCCGGCGGCUGUAGAAAAAAAAAUUAAAAACAGGGGGGAAGGGGGGCUGCAGGCUUGGUAGAGAUAGGUUUAGGGUUAGGUUAUUUUUUUUGUAUUUUCUGAUAUUUCAAAAUUUCCCCCCUCAUUGUGUGAGUUGAAGACCAGUAUUUAUAGGCAAAAAUGUUGCCAAGUUUUUCAACUUGGUCCCUCAACUUCUUUCUUUUUGUAAAUUUUGAUUUUUCUUAUUUUUUUGUAUUUUUUGAAAACGAGCAAUAUCAACGUCGACUCAACGAGGAAAAUCAAUGUUUUUUAGAAAUGACGCGUGAAAAGUCGAACGCGUUUGAAUUUUUUUUUUAAAAUUUAAAUUCUUUUUUUUAGACGACGUUGAAAAUGCUAAAAGGAUGAAAAUAUAUUAAAAAAACAUAUUUUUUGGAUUUUCAUUGUUUUUCUCUAUUUUUGGAUUUUUUGAAAAUAUAUUAAAAACAUGGGUCAAAAAUUGGGUAGCAACAGAUGCCGCCUCUUUACAAUGCUUACGAAGCGAAAAUCCUCAAAAUUUUGCAUAGUAAGCUUUGUAAAGAAAACAAAAGGAAAAUGAUUUCAUUAUCUUGGGCGACCUGCCCACACACUCACACUGAUCUAUUUUCACGGGCGACCUGCCCACACAUACUCACUCUGGUCUAUUUUCACGGGCGACCGACCCACACUCUCCCAAUGGUCUAUUUUCACGGGCGACCUGCCCACACAUUGGGUUUACCUGAGAUCCCAUCUGGCGACCUCAUUCAACUGGAACGAAAAAAUUGUGUAACUCGGUUAACCUGAAAUCCCAUCUGGCGAUUCCCUUUAACCAAAGCUACAUGAGAUCCCAUCUGGCGACCUCAUUCAAUUGGAACGAAAUAUGCGUAACUCGGUUAACCUGAAAUCCCAUCUGGCGAUUCCCUUUAACCAUAGCUACCCGAGAUCCCAUCUGGCGACCUCAUUUAACCAAAACAAAAGAAUGUGUGAAAAAUGGUCUCAUUGUAUGGGUGACGAACCCCAGAAAAAUGAUGGUCUCAUUGUAUGGGUGACGAACCCCAGAAAUAUGAUGGUCUCAUUGUAUGGGUGACGAACCCCAGAAAUAUGAUGGUCUCAUUGUAUGGGUGACGAACCACAGAUGGAAAAAAUGUGAAGUGCGGUCUCAUUGUAAUGGGUGACCUACCCACGUGGAAAAAAUAUGAAGUGUGGUCUCAUUGUAAUGGGUGACCUACCCAGAUGGAAAAAAUGUGAAAAACGGUCUUAUUAUGAUGGGCGACCUACCCAGAUGGAAAAAAUGUGAUAUGACAAGUGUGAAAAAUAGGACUUACCUGGCGAAGUUCUGAAGGGAUGACAGAAGAAAGGGCUGGAAGAUGCUUCCUGAUAAUUCCCGAUCAUGGGGUUUGAAAACUCGGUGUUUCCUUACUGCAAGGGUUGAAAACUCGAGGCUUCCCGGUUGCAAGGUUGAUCUAUUCAUUUCUUUGGGAUUUUCCUAAUGGUAGGGUUCAUCCCAUCGUCCUUUUAUUCCAUGAUCAAAACCGAUUCUUUAUUAUCAUCACCACAAUGCUUCUUUCUCUUUCCACCAUCUUGCUGGACCUCAUUAAGGAUUUUCCUGUAACAAUUCAAAAAUAUGUGCAAAUGGUUUUUUUUUUUUUUUUUUUUGAGGUUAGAUGAUAUGCAUGCAUCCUUACCUGAUUUGAAAUAAUAGGUCCCCCCUCUUUGAUGCUCCAUCGUCAUAGGGUGCCCUUGUUUGUAUCCCAAAGCUUUCUUUGUUCUUCCGAUGUAUUGGCUCAUUCAUGUGUUAGCCAUCCACUCAGCUGUAAAUGCAGUGCCCAUCCCGGGCUGUCUUCGACAAUUACUGCUUGCAUCGUUCAUGAAGCUUGACCCUGCCCCCAAGUGUAGUACUGCUUGAUUCAUCAUGAGAGAUUUUCUCUCCUGGCUUCUUCUGAGAAAUUAUCCUUUGAUUCAUUGUGUGCAUCAUGCCAACACCCAUCACGUUUGUUAAUCAGUCAUGAACUUGCCUUCGGUUGAAACACCAUUCAAGUAUGUAUGGUCACCAGCCUUCAUGGAACUGCCAAGUCAUCCAGACAUGUAUCUCAUGCUUUGCAGUAAACAGCUCAUCAUUGUAAGCGCGAUGUAUUUCUCUAUGGAUUCCUCUUAGCUUGUCAAAUCAGAUCGUGAAAAUACCUGCUUUGGCAUCAUCAAUGAUGUUCAUGUUAUCACCCAUAUUCAUGCGGUGAAGUGCGCAUUUGAGCUUCAGAAUAGAUGGUCCCAUCGUAAAUCUUGGUGGUAUGCAUAUGUUCGAUGUUCAUCCAAAUGCACUCACCCGAUAACAUCUGUCCGGAGUCAUAUCCAUGUUUUACAAAGUAACCUAAGAUGAAGAUAUGAAAAUAUCUUUUUUAGUGCAGCGUUGCUCAUCAAUUGUUGCUGAAGUGCACUAGAUCAUGGAUUGUCUUUGAACAACAUUGGCCUCAGUAUGAUCUGAAGGUUCAUUCAUCGAUUUAUACUCAAGAAGGUUUUUCUUUGUCAUUGUCAGAUGCUAAACAUAACUUUGAUGAACUUUGACGACUCAUCAUCGGAUUCUUUCUUUGCCCCCAGCUGAUCUGGAUACUGUUUGCUUUCCUUCUUAAGGUCCACUGUAUUGCCCCAAGGUGGUCAACGUUUCAAGGAGUGUCGAGAAAUGUUGAUGUCUUUUUUGUCAAGAAUUUUGCAAACUCAAUUGAUGUUCCCUGUUUGAAAAUCUUUCUUGUUCUGGAAUCAAAUCUCAACAUUUCAAGGAUCAUGUCUAUUCAAGUAUAAUUGUUGAAAUGAAAUCAGAGAGAUAUCAGUUUUUGAAAAGUUAUUUUUGAAAUUCGAGCUCCUUUGGUCAAAGACCCAACACACUAUUCAAUGCAGUCCUUUGAUUGUCUUGUAUUUUGAAAACAGAAAUGACCCGUUGUAAGAUUUAAAAUGACUUUUUCAUGGUUCUUUGUGUCCACUUUAAACUCUGAUUUUGGGUAUAUCUUUUGAUGGUUUAUGGUGAGGUGAUAUUUUUGUGAAUUUCAAAUGACUAGAGGCUCAGGCUUGAUAAAGAAAGGUUGUUUCUUUUCUCAGUAUUUAUUUUAUCAGCAUGCAUAAUAACCAGUAGCCUAAUUCAAUGAAGCCACGACUCUUAUAGAAAAACUCUUCAAGUUUUGAGAUCGCCAUUUAUUGGUUCAGAUUGCUUGCUUGAUUAAAAAGGGCUUUUAAAAGCACGUAAUGCAGGCUAUGGUUCAUGGCUAUGAAAGAAAGGAAUUCCAUAGGCUCAAAAGGUGUUUGAGGGUUUCAACGACCUAGGACCAACAUUAACUAUUCAUCGAUUCUCUUUCUCUUGUUGUCAUUGUAGCGAGAGUGACAUAUAACCUUGUUAAUCUUCAAAUAUCAAAAUUCUCUUAACAUAGGUCAUAAUGCAAAUCCAACUUUUAUUUGAUGAAUAAACUAAUCUAAUUAUUUUUGAAGACAUUAGAGGCUCUAUCCAGGACACACCAAAAGAUAUGAAGCAUCGAUUUUUCUAGUGUUGACUUUUGGCAUUUGCUGUCUUUUCUCAAUUGAAAACUAUCUUGCCUCUCUUAGAAUUGAUAGGCAUUUUCUUUCCUUUCCAUUUUCUUUACACACACAUUUUUUUUUGCAUAGCCUUCCUCAAAGUUUUUUUCUUGGAUGGCCCUCAAUCUAUGGAUUUUCUUCUGCUAGCCCUUUCUCAAACAUUGGACUUUUGUUCUAAGUUUUUCUUUGAUCCAUUGAUUUUAUCAGUGUCUCCAAAAUAUUUCUCAUUUGCCCCCAGUGUGGGGUGUGAUCCUAGUCAGGGUUUCCUUUUGAAAGAAAAUAUCUCACCAAGCUCAAAAUGGGACUACAAGGGAUAUAAUUUUUAGAAAGUGAAGAGAUAUCAAAGAUGGCCUUUUCUCAUUUCAAGCAAGGUCGGUUAGAACCGAUAAAUUUUGACCUCAUCUAGUGUAAUGAUUUGUACUUGCAAGAAUCAUGAUUCACGAGUCCAUAACUAUUGAAUCAACUACAUGUCAUUAUGCAUACUGCUAAAACUUAGCUAUAUGAUGUGUGGUUCAGUUUCAAAAGGUAUGAGUUCAAAAUUGUUUGGUCACCUCAUGUCAUUUUCGAGCAUAGAGUCAUUUCUGUAAUCAAAACACUUCUAAUUUUCCGGAUUGAUUAACCUUUAUCGCAUGUUGGAGUUUGAUCAAAAUAUUUUGUCAGAAUAAAAUGCUAAACAUCUGUUGAUUUCAAAACAACAAAGAGACAAAAGCAAGGCAUGUGUCGUUGAAGGAUGAUAUGUGAUCCCAAAACAAAAUGCAGAAUUCCAUAACAAUAUGAUUGACUGUUCAUCACCAUUCUCGAAUCAGCUUUUCUGGCAAUAUCUGUGUUUAGCAAAGCAUUUUCGAUCACAUGUGAUUCUGAAGUUGUUCGGGGAACAAUAUAGCCAGUGACACCCUUCUUCAACGACUCCACUUGUCUCUUGCUCACCAACUUUCAGACUCGCUUCUCGAAAUUCUUGCAAUUGCUCAAUUAGAAUGGUUGAGGACCCCAUCAUGACAUCACAUCUCUUGUCUGGAUUAAACCACCCAGAAAAUGGUGGUUGCAUAGGAUUUGUCGGAGUCAAGCAAAAUUCUGGAAUCUGGCAGAUGCUGGUCGACAAACUUAAAUGGCAGAGGAAUGUCCCAUCUUGGCAAAGAUAUUUGAGCAAUUGAUGCUACCGUGAGACCUGGCUAUACCACAUAAUUAAGGGCUCACACCGUCAAAGUCAUCUCCUGAUUCACCUCUCAUCAUUGUUCUAGAAUCCAUGGCAGAUCCUUCAAUCUUUCUUCUCUUCAUAGCUUGUUCAAUUCUUCGGCAAAUCCUCACAACAUUAUUUCAAUCUUCCAAUGUUGCUAUGGUUGGUUGAGGAUUGUUAGAAAACUUUAUAACAGCUUGGUAAUCUUGGCAGCGCCCAGAAACUUGUAGUAUCGCCACUACCGACGUGUGGAAUCACAUAUUGUCUCUAUUGGAAGAGCACCUGAUGAAUCUAAAACUCCUUUGUCCCCUCUUCGAUUUCUCACUGACAGUGCAGCAAACAAACACCUAUAGAGGAAGUCCUGCUCUGUUGAAGUUUCAGUAUUCUUCAUGUUUUUCAGUCUAGGCAUGCCUCUUCUCUCUACUUUUGCGUUUUAAUACUGACACUGUUGGAGGAAAAUCAUAGAUACCUGAAACUACUGUAUUCCUUCUUGGCCUUCCCACUUGCGGAUCCACAAACAGAUUCCUGUUGAGUGAGCUUUGCUACGUUGAAGUUUGAUGUCUGCUCAUAUUUUUCAGACCAGGUCUGGCUCUUCAACCUACUAAGAGGUCUUCGUGCUGAAACUGAUGAGAGAAAUAUUUGUAGCAUAUGCAACUUAUAAAUCCCCUCUUGCCUUCCCAAUUUGCAGAGCCAUAAAUUGAUUUUUGUAGAGAGAGCUCUGCCACAUUGAAGUUCAGUGUUCAAUCAUGGUUUUUCAGACCAUCUUGUGCUGCUGAACUGGAAUUGAGCUCGUAACCGGGGUAACUUCAAAGCAGAUUAAUGCACCAUGUACAGGAGACCGGUAGUUGUUUGGUUCCAUUAGAUGAUGUGGAGGCGAUGAACAUUUAACAAUGCAACUGGAUAAGAACCAGAGUUGUCAUUAGUUGAUGACUGAAGGCGUUGUUGCUUUUGUUCAUGACGAAAAAGGAGAGAUACAGCUUCAAUUAGAUGUGAACAAGCAGUGUUCCCACGGAAGACUGUGCAGAUAUUCUCUUUCCAUUUGAUGUUCAACACUUGUUCGAGCAGAUCUGAGUCUAGCUACUUCACAUUUAAUGCUCUCAACCUUAAUCUGAUAAUGAGCCUCUAUCUGACACCUUUCUUCACCUCCAUCAUUUUUCUCCAAUCACGUGCAGCACAGCUUGUGUGGGGGACCUACCUUUCAGCCCGGUACAUGCAUGAUAAAUGUAUGAACAUGUAAUCUAUAUGAUGAACUCACCCUUCGAGAGGUGACAAUAUGGUCGUAACUCUUGUAUGAUGGACAAGAAUCGUGAUUUUUGCCCAAACUCUACAAUGAAAAUUUUCGGAGCAACGGCCAAUGUGUCACCCAUAAGUCUUGAGUUCAAGAUGCUUCAAGAAGGGUUUGCCCUUAUGCAAAAAACGAUAGCACAUACAACCUAAGGACAGGUUCUAUUCAUUAUGUGAACAUGGGUAGGUUUUCUAUCUGGUCUCAAAAGGGUCUCAUAUCUGUCUAGUGACGUUCUUCGUAAAGACAGUAUGGGGGCGUUGCGUAAUGUUUGAAUUUGGUUCGUUGGAGUCGCCACCUAGUAAUUGAUUUCGGGCUACUAGGAAACCGGAUGUACUGGUCUUGUCAGAGAUUCGCGGGUAAGGGACUGGUUGUGGUUAGGGAAGGUAUUAGCACCCCUAACGCACCCUACCUGAGGUAAGCUGCUUCGUGGCUUUGACGUGUUAAAGAAGUUUUAAUAAUUGUCUUUUCAUCGGAAAUUAGAAAUAUCACUUACGUAUAAGUUAAUAAUUCUUAACCGUGAUCCGAUCAAAAAAUUAAAUUCUUCUUUAAUAUAUUUGCAAUUUUAUCAUUAAAACUAUAUACAAAUAAAUAAAACAAAAAUACAAGCACACAUUCACUUUCACUAUUUUCAUUUCUUUUCUUUCCUUUUUCUUUUUCUUUUCUUUUCUUUUCUUUUCUUUUCUUUUACAUCCACAAUACAAAUACAAAUACAAAUUCAAAACAAAUAAAUAAAAAUUACAUUAAUUACUUUAAAAAUUACAAAAUAGUCCCUAAAAACUCCAGAAAUUGCAGGGAAGGACUCCUGGGGGCUGUGUGAACAGUGCCGGCGCGUGGGUCCACGCGCCACCACAGAAAAAGGGAGCCGGUGGAUCCGGCUCGUCUCUGUUUCCUCCUCUUUUCCUCGCCGGCGGUGGGGAGUGACAAUCACCUGCAAAGAAGAAAAAACGCAAUCUAGUUGGUUUUAAUUUUGUUCUUAGUCACGGAUCUGUUUUUUUCUUCUCUGUUUUGGGAUCUGUGUUUGUUCUUUCUCCGGUCUACUCUUGGGGCUUCGUCGUCUUCUUCUCUGCUCAGGCAGUCGGGCGGCGGCUAGUUGAGGGUGGAUCUAUGGUCGUCGGGUCUAUUUGGUGACCCCGUGACCGCUGCUGGGUCGUUACUGGCGUGCUGCGGCUGGGUCUGAGCACGGCGUUGAGAGGCAGAUCGGAGGAAGAGACUGCUGAGAGGGGGAGGGUCUGGUGCUGGUCGCUGCGUUCGGGCCGGUUGAAGGUUGGGGAGUGGGCGGUCCGUUCACGGUGGCUGAGAACCGGUUGAGAGGAGAGUGAGGCAGAUGAAGGAGAAGGGCUACGGGUUUGUUUCGGGCUGUUGUUUUGGAUUUGUUUGUGGCCGAGAGAAAGGGAACGGCGGAGAAGAAGAUGAAAACAGGGGGAGGCUGGUUCGGGUGGCCGGUUUUUGGGUCAGAAAAAUCAAACCGAGGAGCAACUCCAGGAGACCAAAAAUGAAAACCAGGGGGGGCGGCUGGUUUUUUUUCUUUUGUGCAGGGAGAGGGGAAGGUCUCGGUGACCGGUUUCUGGUUAAGGUGAAAAAUAUGGGGGAACAGCGUGGGUAGAAGCUGAGGGAAGGGCUGUUUGGCUUUGGUUUGUGGCCGGCGGCUGUAGAAAAAAAAAUUAAAAACAGGGGGGAAGGGGGGCUGCAGGCUUGGUAGAGAUAGGUUUAGGGUUAGGUUAUUUUUUUUGUAUUUUCUGAUAUUUCAAAAUUUCCCCCCUCAUUGUGUGAGUUGAAGACCAGUAUUUAUAGGCAAAAAUGUUGCCAAGUUUUUCAACUUGGUCCCUCAACUUCUUUCUUUUUGUAAAUUUUGAUUUUUCUUAUUUUUUUGUAUUUUUUGAAAACGAGCAAUAUCAACGUCGACUCAACGAGGAAAAUCAAUGUUUUUUAGAAAUGACGCGUGAAAAGUCGAACGCGUUUGAAUUUUUUUUUUAAAAUUUAAAUUCUUUUUUUUAGACGACGUUGAAAAUGCUAAAAGGAUGAAAAUAUAUUAAAAAAACAUAUUUUUUGGAUUUUCAUUGUUUUUCUCUAUUUUUGGAUUUUUUGAAAAUAUAUUAAAAACAUGGGUCAAAAAUUGGGUAGCAACAGAUGCCGCCUCUUUACAAUGCUUACGAAGCGAAAAUCCUCAAAAUUUUGCAUAGUAAGCUUUGUAAAGAAAACAAAAGGAAAAUGAUUUCAUUAUCUUGGGCGACCUGCCCACACACUCACACUGAUCUAUUUUCACGGGCGACCUGCCCACACAUACUCACUCUGGUCUAUUUUCACGGGCGACCGACCCACACUCUCCCAAUGGUCUAUUUUCACGGGCGACCUGCCCACACAUUGGGUUUACCUGAGAUCCCAUCUGGCGACCUCAUUCAACUGGAACGAAAAAAUUGUGUAACUCGGUUAACCUGAAAUCCCAUCUGGCGAUUCCCUUUAACCAAAGCUACAUGAGAUCCCAUCUGGCGACCUCAUUCAAUUGGAACGAAAUAUGCGUAACUCGGUUAACCUGAAAUCCCAUCUGGCGAUUCCCUUUAACCAUAGCUACCCGAGAUCCCAUCUGGCGACCUCAUUUAACCAAAACAAAAGAAUGUGUGAAAAAUGGUCUCAUUGUAUGGGUGACGAACCCAAGAAAAAAAUGAUGGUCUCAUUGUAUGGGUGACGAACCCCAGAAAAAUGAUGGUCUCAUUGUAUGGGUGACGAACCCCAGAAAUAUGAUGGUCUCAUUGUAUGGGUGACGAACCCCAGAAAUAUGAUGGUCUCAUUGUAUGGGUGACGAACCACAGAUGGAAAAAAUGUGAAGUGCGGUCUCAUUGUAAUGGGUGACCUACCCACGUGGAAAAAAUAUGAAGUGUGGUCUCAUUGUAAUGGGUGACCUACCCAGAUGGAAAAAAUGUGAAAAACGGUCUUAUUAUGAUGGGCGACCUACCCAGAUGGAAAAAAUGUGAUAUGACAAGUGUGAAAAAUAGGACUUACCUGGCGAAGUUCUGAAGGGAUGACAGAAGAAAGGGCUGGAAGACUUGGUGCUUCCUGAUAAUUCCCGAUCAUGGGGUUUGAAAACUCGGUGUUUCCUUACUGCAAGGGUUGAAAACUCGAGGCUUCCCGGUUGCAAGGUUGAUCUAUUCAUUUCUUUGGGAUUUUCCUAAUGGUAGGGUUCAUCCCAUCGUCCUUUUAUUCCAUGAUCAAAACCGAUUCUUUAUUAUCAUCACCACAAUGCUUCUUUCUCUUUCCACCAUCUUGCUGGACCUCAUUAAGGAUUUUCCUGUAACAAUUCAAAAAUAUGUGCAAAUGGUUUUUUUUUUUUUUUUUUUUGAGGUUAGAUGAUAUGCAUGCAUCCUUACCUGAUUUGAAAUAAUAGGUCCCCCCUCUUUGAUGCUCCAUCGUCAUAGGGUGCCCUUGUUUGUAUCCCAAAGCUUUCUUUGUUCUUCCGAUGUAUUGGCUCAUUCAUGUGUUAGCCAUCCACUCAGCUGUAAAUGCAGUGCCCAUCCCGGGCUGUCUUCGACAAUUACUGCUUGCAUCGUUCAUGAAGCUUGACCCUGCCCCCAAGUGUAGUACUGCUUGAUUCAUCAUGAGAGAUUUUCUCUCCUGGCUUCUUCUGAGAAAUUAUCCUUUGAUUCAUUGUGUGCAUCAUGCCAACACCCAUCACGUUUGUUAAUCAGUCAUGAACUUGCCUUCGGUUGAAACACCAUUCAAGUAUGUAUGGUCACCAGCCUUCAUGGAACUGCCAAGUCAUCCAGACAUGUAUCUCAUGCUUUGCAGUAAACAGCUCAUCAUUGUAAGCGCGAUGUAUUUCUCUAUGGAUUCCUCUUAGCUUGUCAAAUCAGAUCGUGAAAAUACCUGCUUUGGCAUCAUCAAUGAUGUUCAUGUUAUCACCCAUAUUCAUGCGGUGAAGUGCGCAUUUGAGCUUCAGAAUAGAUGGUCCCAUCGUAAAUCUUGGUGGUAUGCAUAUGUUCGAUGUUCAUCCAAAUGCACUCACCCGAUAACAUCUGUCCGGAGUCAUAUCCAUGUUUUACAAAGUAACCUAAGAUGAAGAUAUGAAAAUAUCUCUUUUUAGUGCAGCGUUGCUCAUCAAUUGUUGCUGAAGUGCACUAGAUCAUGGAUUGUCUUUGAACAACAUUGGCCUCAGUAUGAUCUGAAGGUUCAUUCAUCGAUUUAUACUCAAGAAGGUUUUUCUUUGUCAUUGUCAGAUGCUAAACAUAACUUUGAUGAACUUUGACGACUCAUCAUCGGAUUCUUUCUUUGCCCCCAGCUGAUCUGGAUACUGUUUGCUUUCCUUCUUAAGGUCCACUGUAUUGCCCCAAGGUGGUCAACGUUUCAAGGAGUGUCGAGAAAUGUUGAUGUCUUUUUUGUCAAGAAUUUUGCAAACUCAAUUGAUGUUCCCUGUUUGAAAAUCUUUCUUGUUCUGGAAUCAAAUCUCAACAUUUCAAGGAUCAUGUCUAUUCAAGUAUAAUUGUUGAAAUGAAAUCAGAGAGAUAUCAGUUUUUGAAAAGUUAUUUUUGAAAUUCGAGCUCCUUUGGUCAAAGACCCAACACACUAUUCAAUGCAGUCCUUUGAUUGUCUUGUAUUUUGAAAACAGAAAUGACCCGUUGUAAGAUUUAAAAUGUUUUCAUGGUUCUUUGUGUCCACUUUAAACUCUGAUUUUGGGUAUAUCUUUUGAUGGUUUAUGGUGAGGUGAUAUUUUUGUGAAUUUCAAAUGACUAGAGGCUCAGGCUUGAUAAAGAAAGGUUGUUUCUUUUCUCAGUAUUUAUUUUAUCAGCAUGCAUAAUAACCAGUAGCCUAAUUCAAUGAAGCCACGACUCUUAUAGAAAAACUCUUCAAGUUUUGAGAUCGCCAUUUAUUGGUUCAGAUUGCUUGCUUGAUUAAAAAGGGCUUUUAAAAGCACGUAAUGCAGGCUAUGGUUCAUGGCUAUGAAAGAAAGGAAUUCCAUAGGCUCAAAAGGUGUUUGAGGGUUUCAACGACCUAGGACCAACAUUAACUAUUCAUCGAUUCUCUUUCUCUUGUUGUCAUUGUAGCGAGAGUGACAUAUAACCUUGUUAAUCUUCAAAUAUCAAAAUUCUCUUAACAUAGGUCAUAAUGCAAAUCCAACUUUUAUUUGAUGAAUAAACUAAUCUAAUUAUUUUUGAAGACAUUAGAGGCUCUAUCCAGGACACACCAAAAGAUAUGAAGCAUCGAUUUUUCUAGUGUUGACUUUUGGCAUUUGCUGUCUUUUCUCAAUUGAAAACUAUCUUGCCUCUCUUAGAAUUGAUAGGCAUUUUCUUUCCUUUCCAUUUUCUUUACACACACAUUUUUUUUUGCAUAGCCUUCCUCAAAGUUUUUUUCUUGGAUGGCCCUCAAUCUAUGGAUUUUCUUCUGCUAGCCCUUUCUCAAACAUUGGACUUUUGUUCUAAGUUUUUCUUUGAUCCAUUGAUUUUAUCAGUGUCUCCAAAAUAUUUCUCAUUUGCCCCCAGUGUGGGGUGUGAUCCUAGUCAGGGUUUCCUUUUGAAAGAAAAUAUCUCACCAAGCUCAAAAUGGGACUACAAGGGAUAUAAUUUUUAGAAAGUGAAGAGAUAUCAAAGAUGGCCUUUUCUCAUUUCAAGCAAGGUCGGUUAGAACCGAUAAAUUUUGACCUCAUCUAGUGUAAUGAUUUGUACUUGCAAGAAUCAUGAUUCACGAGUCCAUAACUAUUGAAUCAAACUACAUGUCAUUAUGCAUACUGCUAAAACUUAGCUAUAUGAUGUGUGGUUCAGUUUCAAAAGGUAUGAGUUCAAAAUUGUUUGGUCACCUCAUGUCAUUUUCGAGCAUAGAGUCAUUUCUGUAAUCAAAACACUUCUAAUUUUCCGGAUUGAUUAACCUUUAUCGCAUGUUGGAGUUUGAUCAAAAUAUUUUGUCAGAAUAAAAUGCUAAACAUCUGUUGAUUUCAAAACAACAAAGAGACAAAAGCAAGGCAUGUGUGUCGUUGAAGGAUGAUAUGUGAUCCCAAAACAAAAUGCAGAAUUCCAUAACAAUAUGAUUGACUGUUCAUCACCAUUCUCGAAUCAGCUUUUCUGGCAAUAUCUGUGUUUAGCAAAGCAUUUUCGAUCACAUGUGAUUCUGAAGUUGUUCGGGGAACAAUAUAGCCAGUGACACCCUUCUUCAACGACUCCACUUGUCUCUUGCUCACCAACUUUCAGACUCGCUUCUCGAAAUUCUUGCAAUUGCUCAAUUAGAAUGGUUGAGGACCCCAUCAUGACAUCACAUCUCUUGUCUGGAUUAAACCACCCAGAAAAUGGUGGUUGCAUAGGAUUUGUCGGAGUCAAGUAAAAUUCUGGAAUCUGGCAGAUGCUGGUCGACAAACUUAAAUGGCAGAGGAAUGUCCCAUCUUGGCAAAGAUAUUUGAGCAAUUGAUGCUACCGUGAGACCUGGCUAUACCACAUAAUUAAGGGCUCACACCGUCAAAGUCAUCUCCUGAUUCACCUCUCAUCAUUGUUCUAGAAUCCAUGGCAGAUCCUUCAAUCAUAGCUUGUUCAAUUCUUCGGCAAAUCCUCACAACAUUAUUUCAAUCUUCCAAUGUUGCUAUGGUUGGUUGAGGAUUGUUAGAAAACUUUAUAACAGCUUGGUAAUCUUGGCAGCGCCCAGAAACUUGUAGUAUCGCCACUACCGACGUGUGGAAUCACAUAUUGUCUCUAUUGGAAGAGCACCUGAUGAAUCUAAAACUCCUUUGUCCCCUCUUCGAUUUCUCACUGACAGUGCAGCAAACAAACACCUAUAGAGGAAGUCCUGCUCUGUUGAAGUUUCAGUAUUCUUCAUGUUUUUCAGUCUAGGCAUGCCUCUUCUCUCUACUUUUGCGUUUUAAUACUGACACUGUUGGAGGAAAAUCAUAGAUACCUGAAACUACUGUAUUCCUUCUUGGCCUUCCCACUUGCGGAUCCACAAACAGAUUCCUGUUGAGUGAGCUUUGCUACGUUGAAGUUUGAUGUCUGCUCAUAUUUUUCAGACCAGGUCUGGCUCUUCAACCUACUAAGAGGUCUUCGUGCUGAAACUGAUGAGAGAAAUAUUUGUAGCAUAUGCAACUUAUAAAUCCCCUCUUGCCUUCCCAAUUUGCAGAGCCAUAAAUUGAUUUUUGUAGAGAGAGCUCUGCCACAUUGAAGUUCAGUGUUCAAUCAUGGUUUUUCAGACCAUCUUGUGCUGCUGAACUGGAAUUGAGCUCGUAACCGGGGUAACUUCAAAGCAGAUUAAUGCACCAUGUACAGGAGACCGGUAGUUGUUUGGUUCCAUUAGAUGAUGUGGAGGCGAUGAACAUUUAACAAUGCAACUGGAUAAGAACCAGAGUUGUCAUUAGUUGAUGACUGAAGGCGUUGUUGCUUUUGUUCAUGACGAAAAAGGAGAGAUACAGCUUCAAUUAGAUGUGAACAAGCAGUGUUCCCACGGAAGACUGUGCAGAUAUUCUCUUUCCAUUUGAUGUUCAACACUUGUUCGAGCAGAUCUGAGUCUAGCUACUUCACAUUUAAUGCUCUCAACCUUAAUCUGAUAAUGAGCCUCUAUCUGACACCUUUCUUCACCUCCAUCAUUUUUCUCCAAUCACGUGCAGCACAGCUUGUGUGGGGACCUACCUUUCAGCCCGGUACAUGCAUGAUAAAUGUAUGAACAUGUAAUCUAUAUGAUGAACUCACCCUUCGAGAGGUGACAAUAUGGUCGUAACUCUUGUAUGAUGGACAAGAAUCGUGAUUUUUGCCCAAACUCUACAAUGAAAAUUUUCGGAGCAACGGCCAAUGUGUCACCCAUAAGUCUUGAGUUCAAGAUGCUUCAAGAAGGGUUUGCCCUUAUGCAAAAAACGAUAGCACAUACAACCUAAGGACAGGUUCUAUUCAUUAUGUGAACAUGGGUAGGUUUUCUAUCUGGUCUCAAAAGGGUCUCAUAUCUGUCUAGUGACGUUCUUCGUAAAGACAGUAUGGGGGCGUUGCGUAAUGUUUGAAUUUGGUUCGUUGGAGUCGCCACCUAGUAAUUGAUUUCGGGCUACUAGGAAACCGGAUGUACUGGUCUUGUCAGAGAUUCGCGGGUAAGGGACUGGUUGUGGUUAGGGAAGGUAUUAGCACCCCUAACGCACCCUACCUGAGGUAAGCUGCUUCGUGGCUUUGACGUGUUAAAGAAGUUUUAAUAAUUGUCUUUUCAUCGGAAAUUAGAAAUAUCACUUACGUAUAAGUUAAUAAUUCUUAACCGUGAUCCGAUCAAAAAAUUAAAUUCUUCUUUAAUAUAUUUGCAAUUUUAUCAUUAAAACUAUAUACAAAUAAAUAAAACAAAAAUACAAGCACACAUUCACUUUCACUAUUUUCAUUUCUUUUCUUUCCUUUUUCUUUUUCUUUUCUUUUCUUUUCUUUUCUUUUCUUUUACAUCCACAAUACAAAUACAAAUACAAAUUCAAAACAAAUAAAUAAAAAUUACAUUAAUUACUUUAAAAAUUACAAAAUAGUCCCUAAAAACUCCAGAAAUUGCAGGGAAGGACUCCUGGGGGCUGUGUGAACAGUGCCGGCGCGUGGGUCCACGCGCCACCGCAGAAAAAGGGAGCCGGUGGAUCCGGCUCGUCUCUGUUUCCUCCUCUUUUCCUCGCCGGCGGUGGGGAGUGACAAUCACCUGCAAAGAAGAAAAAACGCAAUCUAGUUGGUUUUAAUUUUGUUCUUAGUCACGGAUCUGUUUUUUUCUUCUCUGUUUUGGGAUCUGUGUUUGUUCUUUCUCCGGUCUACUCUUGGGGCUUCGUCGUCUUCUUCUCUGCUCAGGCAGUCGGGCGGCGGCUAGUUGAGGGUGGAUCUAUGGUCGUCGGGUCUAUUUGGUGACCCCGUGACCGCUGCUGGGUCGUUACUGGCGUGCUGCGGCUGGGUCUGAGCACGGCGUUGAGAGGCAGAUCGGAGGAAGAGACUGCUGAGAGGGGAGGGUCUGGUGCUGGUCGCUGCGUUCGGGCCGGUUGAAGGUUGGGGAGUGGGCGGUCCGUUCACGGUGGCUGAGAACCGGUUGAGAGGAGAGUGAGGCAGAUGAAGGAGAAGGGCUACGGGUUUGUUUCGGGCUGUUGUUUUGGAUUUGUUUGUGGCCGAGAGAAAGGGAACGGCGGAGAAGAAGAUGAAAACAGGGGGAGGCUGGUUCGGGUGGCCGGUUUUUGGGUCAGAAAAAUCAAACCGAGGAGCAACUCCAGGAGACCAAAAAUGAAAACCAGGGGGGCGGCUGGUUUUUUUUCUUUUGUGCAGGGAGAGGGGAAGGUCUCGGUGACCGGUUUCUGGUUAAGGUGAAAAAUAUGGGGGAACAGCGUGGGUAGAAGCUGAGGGAAGGGCUGUUUGGCUUUGGUUUGUGGCCGGCGGCUGUAGAAAAAAAAAUUAAAAACAGGGGGGAAGGGGGGCUGCAGGCUUGGUAGAGAUAGGUUUAGGGUUAGGUUAUUUUUUUUGUAUUUUCUGAUAUUUCAAAAUUUCCCCCCUCAUUGUGUGAGUUGAAGACCAGUAUUUAUAGGCAAAAAUGUUGCCAAGUUUUUCAACUUGGUCCCUCAACUUCUUUCUUUUUGUAAAUUUUGAUUUUUCUUAUUUUUUUGUAUUUUUUGAAAACGAGCAAUAUCAACGUCGACUCAACGAGGAAAAUCAAUGUUUUUUAGAAAUGACGCGUGAAAAGUCGAACGCGUUUGAAAAUUUUUUUAAAAAUUUAAAUUCUUUUUUUUUUAGACGACGUUGAAAAUGCUAAAAGGACGAAAAUAUAUUAAAAAACAUAUUUUUUGGAUUUUCAUUGUUUUUCUCUAUUUUUGGAUUUUUUGAAAAUAUAUUAAAAACAUGGGUCAAAAAUUGGGUAGCAACAAUGUUGAUUGACUUUGGCUAAUGGCAUCCAAAUAGAUGACGGGUUUGAUUUUAUGAUUAGUUUGAGUUAAUGGCAUCCAAGACGAAUGACCGAGUUUAGAUGUUGCGAUUAGCUAAAGUUAAAAGCAUCCAAUGUAGAUGACUAGGGUAAAGGGAGGCAAUUAACCCCAAUCGAUGAUUAAACUUCGGCCUCACCACUUCUAUAGAGAGAUUGGGGCAUAUGAGUGAGGAUAAUACAUCUAGCAAAAUAAUAAAUAUUGUACAAUGCAUAUAAGAAGUAAAUGAAAGAAUGUACUCAUUUUCAGUUUAAUGUCCUUUUAGAUGUUUAUUAUUAUGUUUAGAUUAUCUACAAUUCUUGUAUCCAUGUUGUUUUUGUAACAGGAACAUCACCCAAUCAAGGAGCAUAGGAAAGCCCUUCCUCGGGCUCACAUACUUUGACAGGUGCUAUAUAAUAAUAUGUUUUAGGUGUUAUGUGUUUGAUAAGGGUGGAACAACAAGAAAGAAUGGAGGCACACUCCUCGACUAUCCCUACAGGGGUGCCCCCGCCUUAUAAUGAUUCGAGACUUCUGGUUCAAAUAGUCAAGGUAGUAAUGGAAGGCAUGGAUGACACUAUAACUCAAACAACUCCAGUCACACAAGUCUCAUGAUCAACCUUAGGAAUUGUUGCAACCAUGGAUGACAUGGUGUUACUUGUAUGGUUGGUCAAAAGUAUGCAGGAAAUAAGUUGUCAACCCUAUUUGGGGGAACAAGAUGAUGAGAUAGCCGAGAGAUGGAUUAGGAAAAUAGAGGAGACUAUGAUCCAGAUUAAUAUACUCUAGGGCUUACGGGUAAACAAUUCUACUAAGUUAUUAACUGGUUGGACCAUUACAUGGUGGGAAACCAUCCAACUACGGCAAGUAACCGAAACAUUGACUUGGAGCGACUUCAAAUUAGAGUUUGAAAAUCAAUUAUAUUCCAGGUACCAUCGCAAAGUAAAGGAACAAGAAUUCUUGGCAUUAAGACAAAGGGAAAUGUUCUUGCACCUUAACUCAAAGAUCUAUAACUAAACAAAAAGAUUCAAGUAGAAUAGAAGAUGAAAGAAAACAGGUGUAGACCUCUUACAAAAAAAAAAUCAUAAAUGACUUUAAAUGUGUGAGCUUAGAAAGAGGGUUGGCCAUAGUAAGGGUUGGACAAAACACAAAUUUAAGGUGACGAAAUGCAUGGAUUAUGACCUUGUUGGAACCUUAGACUUCUUGAAAUCAAAAUUAGAAGCAUGUUGGUGUUAAUGACAUAAAUUUAUGCUUGUAUUUGAUGAAAUUGUAUGAUAAUAUGUUAGGAUGAUGUUAUGUGCAGAAUUAUGUUGUUUUUGAACCUUGAAAAUCAUGCUAGAGCUGAAAAACAGAGACCAUGUUAGGUUGAUACCCACAUUCUAUUUGCGUGAUUGAUGAAAUUGCAUGUUUAUGUACCAUGUGAAAUAAGGUAUGAUUGUGUGUGCUGACAAUCUCAGCAUCAGCUACGAAGUUGUGUUGCGUUGAUGAUUUCUGAGUCAGGAGCGACUCCAUUUUCAUCAAUGAUUUUAAGGUUAGUUGUGAACCAUGUACACUAAUGAUUUUAGCGUCAGCUACAAAGCUAUGUUGCAUUUGAUGAUCAGCUUCGAUUAAUGGCAUCCGAGAUGAAUGACCAGGUUAUGUUUGAUGAUUAGCUUCAGCUAAUGGAAUCCCAGAUGGAUGGUCAAGUUGAUUAUGAUGAUUGGCUUUGGCUAAUGGUAUCCGAAGAGAUGACGAGUUUGAUUUUAUGACUAGUUUGGGUUAAUGACAUCUGAGACAGAUGAUCGAGUUUAGAUGUUGCGAUCAAUGAUUAGUAUUUAAAAGUGCAUAUUUAUCAAGGUUUUAUAUCAUCAUUUUGCACUUAAAGUAUUAAUAACUCUUUAACUAAAGCAUGUUUUAUAAUAACAAGUCUAAUACUAUAAAAUGCCCUAAUAUAUGGUAAAUGUUCAUCUUAAAUGCAUGCCUAUCACAUAAAUCAAAGGAUUGAUUGAUGAAUUCAACUACUGAAAUUUGUGAAGAUAAAGAGAGGGUGAAACUUAGAAUAGAGAUGUUGGUGCAGUCCAAACUAAAACAUUGUUCGGUGUUUGGGUCAUAUCUCGAGUUCUAGAUGUCCAAAUGACCUCAAAUGGUUACACAUAUUCAGUAAGACAUAGGCCUACAACUUUCAUGUUUUCAUCAAGAUCUAAGAAGGCCGUUUUAAAGUCCAAAUUAUAGCAACAACGGAGAAGUCUGAAUCUGUCCUGCAGCCCAAACAUUGUUCAGUGUUUGGCCCAUAUCAGAAGUUCUAGAAGUCCAAAUCACCUCCACUUUUUUUUCCUGGAAAGUUGAGUCAAUUUCCUACAACUUUCAUGCUUUCAAGUGGACCCAGUUCUGAUGCUAGCAUUUUCGUUUUAUUCAGACAAGAAGAUAAGGAUUUUCACAAAGUCAAAAGUUGGCCACCCACUCAACAAUUAGUCAUCAAAUCAAUAAUUUCGAAUUUUGGCCUAUAAAAGGAGGCAUUUGCCAUGUAUUUAGGGGCUUGGUAGUUCAGAUCAAGUUCAUGCUCUUUAUUUCUCUCUUUAUAUUUUUUGUAAUUCUUAAGUAUUGCUUUCAUUAAUUUCUUGUUUAUGUUUUUCAUUUCCUUUCCUUUCCUUAGUUAACUUGUAUCUUAUUUAUGUUCUUAUUUUGUUUAUUUAUGUUUCUCUUCUUCAUUAUGUUUAGCUAAUUUUAUUAUGUCAAGGUGAAAAGGUUACAUUAAUGGUGUAAGAACAAGUAUGGUGUAAACUCAACAUGGAUCUUAAUGUUUAAUAUUAACAUGUCUUAUCUUUUUAUCUUACUAAUUCUUAAUACCUUGCUUGUUAAAUGGUUAAUCUAGAUUUUUGUUGUAUAAUACUUGGUACAACAAAUUCUUGGCACUCUCAUAGCUCAACCGUAUGGUAUUACCUACACCUGGGCUAUGAAAGGAACUUGAUUUGUUGUUAACAUCAGUUAACAUCAUGAAUUCCUGACAAUAUUUAAAAGUUUGGUGUUAUGUAAAUAAGAUAAUUAAUAUGAUCAUGUUAAUAAUUUAUAAUGAGCUAUUAAUGACAAAUCAUCCGAUUGGAACCUCCUUCGUGUGUGGUUUCCAAAUUGAGUAAUAAGAGUUUAUACUAUACUUGUUUGAAAUACCAUUGGUGGAUCCUCUAACCUUGACAUUUGUUUUUAUCAUUGUUUAAUCCUUACAUUAAUCUUCCAUCACAAAGUUCUCAUUAAUUUCUUCCUCUUCUUCUUUUUUUUAUUGUUAUUAUUAUUAUUACUACUAAUAUUAUUACUAUUAUUAGUAUUAUUAUUAUUAUUAUUAUUUACAUUCUUGUUAUAUUUUAUGUACGUUAAGUAUGCUCUGUGUUUGAUCAAGGAUCCUGACAUUGUUGGUCUUGCCUUGUUCAUUCGCAUCAGAAAUCUAUUUAUAUUAUAUAGUAUAUCUCGUUGAUCUUUUCAUAAACUCAGUAUAUAGGCUGGGAACCUGUGACCCGAUCUUUUAGAUCAUUCUCAGGUAUAACAACGCCACGUACUGAGUAUUAUUAUUAGUAUUAUUAUUAUUAUUAUUACUAUUACUAUUAUUACUAUUAUUAUUAUUAUUUACAUUCUGUUUAUAUUAUAUAAUAUAUAUCUUUGAUCUUUUCAUAAACUCAAUAUAUAGGCUGAAAACCUGUGACCCGAUCUUUUAGAUCAUUCUCAGGUGUAACAACGCCACGUACUGAGUAUUACUAUUACUAUUACUAUUAUUAUUACUAUUAUUAUUACUAUUAUUGCUAUUAUUGUUGUUGUUGUUGUCUUGUUAUUUAUAAUUUAUACAAUUAACCUCUCUGUGGUUCGACCCCGGUCUUGCCGGGUUAUUUAUUACUUCGACCCUCCUGCACUUGGGAGAAGACAUCAAGCUUUUGGUCGUGUCAAUCAACUACAACUAAAAGCAUCCAAGGUGGAUGACCGGGGUAAAGGGAGCCAAUUAACCCCAACCGGGGAUUAAACUUCAGCCAUACCACUCAUAUAGAGAGGUUAGGGCAUAUGAGUGAGGAUAAUACAUCUAGCAAAAUAAUAAGUAUUAUACAAUGCAUAUGAGAAGUAAAUGAAAGAAUGUACUCACCUUUAGUUGAUAACAGUAAGUAACAAUAACAUCUUUUUAGAUGUUUAUUAUUAUGUUUAGAUUAUUUACAAUUCUUGUAUCUAUGUUGUUUUUGUAACAGGGACAUCACACAAUCAAGGUGCGUAGCAAAGCUAUUUCUCAUGCUCACACUUUGAAAGAUGCUAUGUAAUAGUAUGUUUUAGGUGUUAUAUGUUUGAUAAGAAUGAACAAACUAGUUGAAUAUUUGUCAUUUGACAUUUUUGUAAAGACUGGUAUCGAAAAUUAUAAUGGAAUACGGAUGAGAAAGUAUAAUCUUGUAAACAUGAUAUGGUGAAUGGAUGAAUGUGAUAUUCUUUUUAUGAGAAUGUUGUAUUGUGAAAUCUCAUAAGUAUUACACUACACUAAAAUAUGAAUUCUAUUACGAUAAACCCUAAACACCAUUGUGAGAAUGUGUAUUGUCACUUUUUAUGGGAUGUUGAUUUACUUUACCUUAUAUGGGUUGUGUCUUGCUAAUAAAUGAAAUGUGUUGAUAAAUUAACAAAAUGAUAUUAUGAAAAACAUCAAAAACCUAACGACUUAAAAAAAAUCCACCAAUUUUGACUAUGAAAAAGCUGGGUCGUUACAUUAAAAUUGGCCAAUUCUAGACUUACAAAACUCCCUGUAAAUGUAUGGGUUGAAAUUCUAGAAAAACCAAGUGUGAAAGAAAAAGAACUUAUUGUUGUCCCUGUCAGCCUAGAAAAGGAUUGGAGAACCCAAGUUAAUAAUUAUUUACUUAAUAGAGAGAUACCUUUAGAUAGAAGUGCAAUAACUCGUCUCACUAAUAGAUCAACGGGGUAUUGUGUACUUAAUAACAUUGUGUAUCGAAAACCUAUUUCAUUUAUGUUACUUAAGUGUUUAUCCUAAAGAGAGCAUUUACAUUCUUAGAGAAUUGCAUGAGGGCAUAUGCAGACUUUAUAUAGGCUCUAGAUCCCUAACUGCUCAAACAAUGAGAACGGGUUUCUAAUGGCCAACUAUGCUCCAUAAUACAAUAAGUUUGGUGAAAAAGUGUGAUCAAUGUCAAAGAUUUGCUUCAGUCUCCCAUCAACCAUCUAUUGAAAUGAUUGUCAUAACUUUGUCGUGGCUUUUUGCUCAAUGGGGGAUGGACAUUCUAAGACCAUUCUUGAAGACCACUGGUAAAAGAUAAUUUGUUUUGGUAGUUGUUGAUUAUUUCACCAAAUGGGUUACAACAGAAGCCUUAGCGAACAUCACUACUAGUAAAGUACUUUCAUUCCUAUGGAAAAAUAUCAUAUGUCGUUUUGGAUUUCCAAGAGUCUUGAUAAUAGAUAAUGGAACCCAAUUUGAUAAUCAUAAGAUGAAAUACUAGUGUUAAAGGCUCUCUAUAUUGACCAUCGCUUCUCCUCGGUAUCGUAUUCUCAAGCCAAUGGUCAAGCAGAACUAGCCAACCAAGUUUUACUUAAUGGGAUGAAGAAGAAGAUAAAACAAACCAAGUCAGAAUGGACAGAAUUGCUCAAUGAGAUUGUAUGGGUUUAUAGGACAACUCAAAAGACGUCCAUAAGAGAAAUUUAAUUUUCAUCUCACCUAUAGAACUGAAGCAAUGAUUCCAGCUAAAAUUGGAUACCCUAGUUCAAGGGUGGUUCACUUUACCACUUAGAGAAAUGAACAAGGCCUCAUGACCAAUCUAGAUUUCUUAGAAGAGACUCAACUAACAGUAGUAGUUAAGAAUGAAGUUCAUCGACUUAAAGCAAUUCAAUACCAUAACAUUAAAGUCAAGAAUAGAAAAUUCAAGUUUAGAGAUUUGAUCCUAAAAAAAUUAAAAGCAACAUGCAACCAAGGAAGUAGAGGCAUGUUGGCUUCUAAAUGUGAUGGUCCUUUCAAUAUCAUCAGAGUGGUCAAGGCAAACACCUACCAUUUGCAAAAUAUGAAAGGGAAGACUCUUCCUCACACCUGGCAUGUUAAUCACUUAAAAAUGUAUUAUAAUAGAUAGGAAUGUACAUUAUAUAAAAAGUAUCUUUCCCGCUAGUAAAGUUACAAAUAUCUAAUGGAUUGGUAUGUAAUCUUUCUAGUGUUAUACGCACAAACCUCCAAGAGAUUGGUAUGUGUUAUUCCUAGUGUUAUAUGCAAAAAUCUCUAACAGAUUGGUAUGCGGUCUCCCUAAUGCUACAUACACAAACCUCUAAGGAAUUGGUAUGUGGUCUUCUUAGUGUUAUACGCAUAAAUCUCCAAGGGAUUGGUAUGUGGUUUUCCUAAGAACAAUAGUUCCAACAACAACAACAACCAUGUUAUCCAACAUUUCAGGCCCCAAUAGCUUAUGGAUAUACAAGUUGGACAUGGUUAGGGAAAGUUUAUCUCUUAUUUUCUUUAUCAGAGACACAAAUAUUCUAAACUCUGCCUAAAAGAUUUGGGAAUAAUUUUUCAAGGUUGUCAUCAUCAGAUGCGAACUCUCAACCUCCUCCUUGGCAGCCCUCAUUUCCUCCUUCGACAUCCUCAAUUCCCCCCUUAAAGCCUUUCUCGCUCCUUUGAGCUCAGCCACCUCUUUUUCCAAGAAGUCUAUACAGCUAUAAAUUUCAGCUAACUUUUGUUUAUUGGACUCCAAGAUGCAUGUUUGAGCUCCCAACUCCCUUUGCAAUUGGGUAGACGCAGUUUUGAGAAAGGCUAUAUCAGCGUUAUAAGCAACUUUCUCCUCAUUGAGCCAACGUACCUCAGACUUGCUAGCGCGAUACUACUCAAUGGUCUCUUUCAUGACUCUCUUCUCCUCAGCUCACCUACUCUUUGAGUGGGCACACACCAUUAAGGUCUAGAUUGGCACAACAAUAAUAUAAAGUAAAAAAAUAAUAUAAUUCUAAAAACUAAUCAAUGUAUUUAAAAAAAAUAACUUAAAAACUCACUUAUACCUAAAAGACCAUAUGCCUAGUAAUGGCCAAAUGAUGCUAGUAGUUAGGAUCAGUAAGAGCACCAAUGUUAGAGGAAGGUGAGUAACUUGUCCAAAGCUUCCAUCACCUCUACUCCUCUAAACCCUAGGGUGGAACUUUCAUGGAAAAAAGAUCAUAUCAUACUUUUCUCUUCCUCACUUAAGUUAGGAAAACGAAGAGGAGCAUAACCUAAGUUCAGAUUAGAGAAGCCGUCUUCCACCCCUAUAGGAUGGGUCUUUGACUGGAAAACCCUAUGAACAUAAGGAUUGGAUUUGCGAUAGUAAGAGUCUUGGUUGGAGAAGUGACCACUUCUACAUUAGAAUCUGAAACCAAAGAAACCCUCAUCCUCUUCCAUCAUAAAGUUAUCUCCAUAACCAUUGUUAUUGGGGUUAGUUCCAGAGCACCCCUUGAAAUGGAGGGAUGAUCACCUCUUAUUGCCUUAGGGCGCAUAUCCUCAACAAGAGGGAUAAAUGCAUUUGUCUCUUUAAUAGGAGAGAAAUCAUCAUGAACCUCUUCAAUAGGAAGGACAUAUGCAGGGGACUCUUCAAUGUCCAUAGAAAAUGUUCUUCCAACCCUUCUCUUACAUAUCAAAGGCCGAUUGUCUUUAAAAAAGCUAUGUUCAUGAGAGGCAGGAGCAGAAGGAGCAUGAACAAAAGGAGAACAUUUGUGAAGAGACAUAGAGAUGUGCAUUGGUAGAGAUGUUGAGGAUCCACUAGCCGCAAAUCCAGUUUCCCUUAACCAAUUCCCUACAUAAAGAAAAAGUUAUAAAAUGAAUAUUAAAAAUAAAGUGUCAAAGCAAGGGUUUACCCUCGGUGCAAUAAAAUCAUUUGGCCAUGUAGUUGAUCUCAAAUCAAGUGUGUAAUAAGUCCAACCUAACGCAUGCUCUUUCCUAUUCAGUGUUGAGGAAAGACUUGUUACUCACACCCACUAGAGGUGCUCUCUAAUAAUGGGUACAACCCCAAGUGGCAUUAUACUUGUCUUUCAGCUUCAUCGUUUUAUAAUAGCUCACCACCACCCAUUAUCUUCUCUAGCUUUUCAAGCAAGGUGACUUUUUUUUAAAGUCUUCCUCAUUGGCCACUUUGACCUAUUAAAAAUAUUAAACCAGGGGAACGAAGGCCCCCUUUCAGUGUUAUUGAUCAGGGUGUAGCACUGCCUAAAAACCUUAAUUAUGUUCCUCAUCUAGCAUUCUGAGGAACUUGUCGAAUGCAAGUAGAAUGGUCCACCCAUUAAGGUGGAAUUGAGCUAGACUCAUAUUGUAAUAUCUGAAUAGUUUCUUUAUAAUUUGAGGGUGUUACAUGACAUUAUAAUUUGAGGGUGUUACAUGACAUUAUAAUUUGAGGGUGUUACAUUUACACUUAUAGGUGUACAAAAAAUCUCUUAAAAGAUCAAUCACACUUAUCAUCUUAUUAAUAAUAUGUAAGGGAUAUUUGUCUCUUAUUACUUUUUCUAAAAACGACAAGGUUCAGGGAGUAUAAAUACAUUUUUAACUAGAUAAAGGAUUCUAAACAUUUUUAAUUCUUAAUCGCUUGCAUAUAUUUCAAAGCAUUAAUCACUCUGAAAUACAAGAACAAAUAUUUUUUUUUUUUGAAAUUUAAAUAUUUUUUAAGUCAUUUAUUAUUUUUCUUAUAAAGUUAUUAACUUUAUCAUUAAGGUUGUUGAAUGCAUGACCCCCCCCCCCCCCCCCAAGUUGACUGCCCUUCUUCGAAGUACAACUAUGAUUCAAUUAAAGAGGUCACCGUCUUUUAUCUCAUUUCUCAUAUCAUUAAAUUUAUUUGUGCUGCUUUUUGAAGCAAUGCAGUGGCAGACAUGGCCGGUUGCGGAGACGGUGUGUAAUGGCGACGAUCUUGGUCUGUGGGGAAGAGAGAGGAGGUGGUGUUGGAGAGAUAAACAGAUGGUGAAAGAGAGAGUGAUGGAGGAUCCAUUGCUCUAAGUGUUGGCAUAUUAGGGGGACAAUCAGAGCGAGCUAAGCCACAAAACAUUGGGAACGCAGAUGGCGAUGCUCGUUGUGGGAUAGCAGCCGGUGAUGCUGUUGAAGAAGCAAAUAUACUAGCAAAUACAUUACUGGUUGAGCUAGUAGAGCUUGUGCUUGUAGCUGAGGCAUUCAGGCAUAUAGCUGCUGGUGUUGGUGGUGAAAGUCCAAUUGGAUUUUCUGCUAAUUCUGUGACAAGAAACACAGAGAGAGAGAGGACAUUAACCCAUAGUAAGAAAGAAACGAACUAGAAGAAUAAUGCAGUCAAUCACAAAAACCAAAGAGAAAGGGAUAUGCUAGCAAAAAAUGGUAUUUUGUUUUGGAGGAUCUGGUGUUAUGUUUUAAAGCGAUUUUUUGCUUUAAAAUAAUAUUAAUUUAAAGUUAGAAAAAUAAUUAUUUAAAAAAAAAAAAAACCCGUAAUAGCUUGAACCAGAAAAGCUUUAUUAAAAGCAAAAGCAACGAGCUAAUAUGGAAUCCUUUCUCUCAAAAUUUCAACCCACUUUUAUUAUAGCGUGUACUGACUUUUACUAGCAAGCAGCUACGGCUACCCAUGAAAUUGAAACACAACACUAUCCCUCUCACCGACCGACCCACCCACCCACCUACCCACCCGCAUGGCCACAUUUGUUAAUAUUCUCCGGUCUAUCAUCGACACUAGAACGACAUCAACAAGAAAUACAAAACCCAUUUGCCCAACACAAAACCAUAGACUUCAAUCCAUUCUGUUCUAUCUACAGCCACAAGAAAACAAUAAAUAAAUACAAAUCAACCCAUGAUAGUACGUACUCGCUAGCAAGCUGGACCAAAUUAAUUACCUGAGCUUUGAACUGACAAACCCGGAGACACCACGCUAGUAGACGGCGUAAGUGGUGGAGGCGGUGGUGAAGCAACCACACACUUGACGCUACAACCAUUCCCUUCAUCCCCCGUUAUCGCUAGGGUUUGCGCCCUUGCACUCUCCUCCGUUAACGCAUCACAGAAUGCCCUAUGUGUUAUAAAACUAUCCCUCCUAUAUAAAAACAAAGACAAAACCAAAACAAUUAAAAAUUAAAAUCAAUAACAUACAAAAAAAAGUGCUAAAUAUUACAUAUAACCUAUUACAUAAAGCUUCUAGGUUCUACAAUAUCAUCAUGUUCCCUAAUUUGGAAACCCAGAAGGCUAAAUGGUGUUUAAUAUACUUUUUAUUUUUAGAUUGUUUUUUAAAAUAAUUUUUAUUUAAAAAAAAUAUUAAAUUAAAUUUUUUUUAUGUUGGGUGGUUUUAAUAUACUAAUACUAAAAGAAACAUAAAAAAAUAUUUUAAUAUAUUUUUAAACAAAAAUUUAUUUUAAAAAGCUAUGUAAACUACAGUAUGAAAAUUUAUUUUAAUAUAUACGGUGGAAAACUGGGCAGGAGCAGACAGAGUAGAGUUGCCAUUGUUGAAUGCAUGACCCCCCCAGUUGACUGCCCUUCUUCGAAGUACAACUAUCAUUCAAUUAAAGAGGCCACCGUCUUUUAUCUCAUUUCUCAUUCUCUGUAUCAUUUUAGAGAAUAAUAUAAAUUAUAUUUUGAGAUCUCACCUAACAGCUUAAGUUAUUGGGUUGAGAUGGUUAUUUGACAUAGUAUCAGAGCCUUGAUGACCAAGCGGUCACGAGUUCGAAUCUCGCGCAUCCCUAUUUAUUUGAUAAAAAUUAAACACAAGGUAAUGUGGACCUGUGCAAGUUUCAAACCCAAAGGGCUUUUACUUGAGGGGGUAUUUUAGAUAAUAAUAUAAAUCAUAUCCUGGAACCUCACCUAACAGCUUAAGCUAUUGGGUUGAAAUGGUUCUUUGACAAGCAGACUUAAACAUGCCUCUAUAUAUUUACUCUUUUUUACUGGAGCAGCUCAAAAUUUGAUGGGAGGAGGAACACAUAUUUAAACGUAUGGUAAGUAAUUAAUAUUUAAACAUAUACUCUAGUAAUUCACAAGUUCACCAACACUCCUUUAUGAAUAUGGUUAAAAUCAUCAUCUAUUUUACUCGUCUUUUUCAUUUUAGUUUUUUAACUUAUAAUCAAUCUUUUAAAAUAAAAAAUAUGUAAUUGAGUGUUAAUUAUAAGCUAAAUAAAGGCUGAAAAAUAAAUCAAGGAUAAAAUUAAAAAAUUUUAAAAAAUAAUUUCUCCAAUUCAUAAUAAUUUAUAAAAAGAUAAACAGUGAUUUAAGUUACAGUAAAAGAAACCCACAUGUUUUAGUUUUAUAUACUUAAUAAAAAGGAAUGAUAACAACAUAUUACACACAUUUAUGUUGAAGUUGAAAAAAUAAAAUCCACAAGCUUGCAAUUGGGCAACCUGUACCAAUGACCUUAAAUAAAUUGAAUCAUGCGUGGUUUUUCGAAUAUGGUUGACGAAGUGCAAAACCUACUUGUACAGGUGUGCACUACAAUAAAGUUUCUUUUGCUAGAUGGCAUCUUCUUAUCAACGUGGUCGUGGUUGGUGGACAAGUACACAAUCGAAGGUUUACACACACACACACACAAAAAAAACCCUAGCUCUAACUGGACUGAGCGGCGAUAGUACUGUUAUUAAAAAAACAAUAUGUAUAUCACUCAUUAAUAAGUAUAAUUUUUUUUUUAUUCGAGUAAAUUCUUUUUUCUAAAAGGUGUAUUUUAUGGAUUAGAUAAGUAAAUAAAAUCCCGGUUAUUUCAAGUUCUUAUAAAAAAUACACAUCCUAACUCAAAUUCAAAACUUGCUAUUCAAAUCUCAAAUUCUUUACUACCACCCUACACCCUACACCCUACACCCUACACCCUACACCCCCAGGGACCAUCAAUAAGUAUAACGUUAAAGAACAUAUCACUCAUCGUCUAUAUAUAACGGGCAAGACCUCCCCACAAGUAAGGAAACAAAGAUAAGUAGUAGCAGUGAAGUGAUGGCAUCUCGGCCAGGAAUUCUCACAGACUGGCCAUGGAAACCUCUUGGAAGCUUUAAGGUCUCAUGGAAAUCCCUCUCAUAUCUCUCUCUCGCUCCUUUUCCUUCUCGUUAAUAUCUGAUAACAUGCGUAGAGUAAUUAACUCACUAUUUUCGUGCAAACAACGUUAAUAUAUCAUAAACAAAAACAAUAAUAUUAACUAUAUAUCUUUGUUUUGUUUGUGGUGUUCAACAUGGCAGCAUGUAAUAUUGGUUCCUUGGGUCAUUCACAGCACCUACUCCUACAUGAUCAAAGAUGGAAAAGAUCUCUCAACCUUUCUCACAUUCCCGCUUCUGCUGUGGAGAAUGCUUCACAACCUGUUAUGGAUCAGUCUGUCCCGUUACAGAACAGCCAAGGGAAAUAACAGGAUUAUUGACAAAGCCAUUGAAUUUGAGCAAGUUGAUAGAGAAAGCAGCUGGUAUUUGUGUGUUAAAUAAUUUCUUGCAUUAAUUUCCACUCUACUGCUUGUGAGUUUUCUGAUACUUGAGGAUUUUCUGGCUGGAUAUCUGCAGGGAUGACCAAAUACUGUUCAAUGGAAUUUUAUUCUACGUUGGUAUGAAAACAAUUCCAGGAGCUAGCCAUCUCCCCAUGUGGAGGUUAGAUGGUGUAAUUAUAACAGCUCUGAUUCAUAUGGGUCCGGUGGAAUUUCUGUAUUAUUGGCUUCAUCGCCUUCUUCAUCACCACUAUCUCUACUCUCGCUAUCAUUCCCAUCACCACUCCUCCAUUGUCACAGAGCCCAUUACGUGUAAGGACCCUAAGUACAAUAACUUUAUGGUCCAAUAUGAUUAGACCUCAUCUCAAUAUAAACAUAUCUUGAUAUAACAUAUCCCGCUACUUCAUAAAAACAUAUUUUAAAUAAUUUAUGGGAGUAUAUUUAAGCUGUCAUGUCUAAAUUGUCUCAUAACAUCCCCCGAAUAUAUUUAAAAUAUAUUAAGAGUUUCGAAGUAAAUAAUAUCCUUGCAUUUGAAUUAUUAGUAAUCUUGUAUUUCAUCAUGUAUUGCUAAUCAAUAUCAAUGGAGAAUAUUGGUAUACGUGCCCCCUCAAUCACACACAAGAUUUUUCUUCCAAUAUUAUUAUAAAAAUUAAUAUUCCAUGUGCAUCGCAGCUGUGAUUCAUCCAUUCGCCGAGCACAUAUCCUACUUCCUGCUAUUUGCAAUACCAAUGAUAACGACUGUUGUGACGGGGACAGCCUCUUUAGCAUCCUUAGCUGGUUAUAUCACUUACAUUGACGGGAUGAACAACAUGGGUCACUGCAACUUUGAACUCGUUCCCAAAUGGCUCUUCACCAUUUUCCCCCCUCUCAAGUACCUCAUGUACACCCCAUCGUAAGUCUUGAUUUCUUGCAAUUUCAAUUAUCAAUUCUCACCAGCCUUGCUCCUUUUCUUUUUAUUAAUGGGAUUUCUUUCAGACUUGUGAACAAAAGCCAUGAUUGUUAUGAAAGAUUAUAGGAAAAUGAUUCAUCUCAUCUUACAAAAACAAGAAAUAUAUAUAUAUAUAUAUACACACACCGUCGUCUAUGGAAAAUAUACUUAAUUUUUUAGCAUUUAAUAUGGCUGCAGGUUCCACUCUCUUCACCACACUCAAUUCAGAACCAAUUACUCACUAUUCAUGCCCAUCUAUGAUUUCAUCUAUGGCACAACGGACACGUCUUCUGAUACCCUCUAUGAAGAUUCGCUCAAGAGACCCGAGGAAGCCCCUGAUGUGGUGCAUCUAACUCAUCUCACCACACCAGAUUCCAUCUAUCAUUCACGGCUAGGACUUGCCUACUUGGCUUCCAACCCUCAGAAAUC
rnacentral:lncRNA from 1 species